CAUCAGCUCCUGCCAAGUUCUGCUUGAACGAAGACUUGCGGCCGCUGCACGAAUGGAUCGGAGGAUACCGCGCGCACGGCGCACCACACGCUUGGAUCCGUCGAUAUGGUCAUCGAUGGUCGAACAACUAGUCCACACCCGCCGUCGCGUCGCGGUUCGCGACCAGCUGAACACGAUUGGGCAGCCGCACGGCCAACUUUUGUUGAGCAAAUAACGGCAGGUGCUCUGCCCAUUCAUUAUAGUAGGAAGCAGUUCAGAUGUACAAGGUCAGACCAAAUGGUCCUAUAUAAGAUGAAAAAUAAGGGGGGGAAAGCAAAAAUAAAAAGGUGUACAGAUGGACUAUUCUUGGUAGGCCGCAAGAUCAUUGAGGAUUACAGAGCACAACUCAGCAGGUGAUAGCGAUUUGUUGUCGGCAGCGCUCCUUCCAAAUAUUCCAAGCAUGUAGGUUAUCAUCUGGAUGUGGUGGUCUUUUGGGUUAGUACUUGCACUGCUCAUCAACUCCCACCAGGCUAAUAGGCAAUGUACGUUGGAAAGCUGUGGUAACUGAAAGUUUGCCCGGUUUGCCAUCAGCUGCCACACCUCCUUAGCAUAGUUGCACUUGGCGAUCAUGUGCAGUGUCUUCUCUUGUGCUGAUUGACACAGUUGAGAGGUAGGAUUGGCUUGUCCCCCUCUUUUAAUAAUUCUGUCAUUAGUAGGUAGUCGACGUUAGCAGUAGCCACAUGAAAAACUUACACUUGUUUUCAACUUUGGCUUUCCAGAUCCAGUCCCAGCGUGUUUCAGAGAAAGCCCCCUUGAAUUUGGACGACUAUUGUGCUGUUGCAGAGAAUUUCCAGUGGAUAGUAUCAUUGGCUUCCGUCAGCUGGAUGUGUUGCAACAAAUUGGCGAAGAGCCGGUUCAGUGUUCAUACGCCUGAGCCCACGCAUCCACUUUCUAUCCUCUAAGGCAACAGCUACUGUCUGGUUCUUGCGCCAAGCAAACUUGAAACAAUCUGGAGCAAUGUCUUUUGGAGCUUGUCCAUGCAACCAUUUGUCCUUCCAGAAACUUGUUGUUUUCCCAUUGCCGACCGUAAUGUGUGUGCAGGCUCUGCAAAGUGCUAAUUCUGUAGGUGUGAGUUGUAUGUUCAUCCCUGUCCAUGGUUUGGAUUGAUCUGCCCACUUGAACCAUCUCCACCGAAUGCGCAGAGCCCGGUUGAAAGCAAGCAGGUCUAGGAUGCCUAGGCCUCCCAACCGUUUUGGUCUGCAUACUCGACGCCAAUUUACGGCAGCCCUUGCCAGCUCUCGCCUCCUCACUCCCUGCCCAUAGGAAGUUCUUGCGUAUUCUGUCAAUGCGUCGGAUGGCCCAUUUUGACGGGUUAAAAGAUGUCAUGUAAUAUACUGGGAUCGAUGGCAACACUGCAUUGAUCAAGGUUAACCUGCCAGCCCGUGUCAACAACCUACCUUUCCAACCUGGCAGCCGAGCACCGAUCUUGUUCAUCAGCUCUCCUUGUUUUGCCAAUGUGCAGUGGUAGACCAAGGUACUUACAUGGGAAUUGGCCCUGCUCGCCCUGAAAACUGUGGAUCAGUAGUGUCAGGUCUAACUCAGUGCAUCGAAUCGGGAAGAGUUGAGACUUUUGUAAAUUUGUUUUCAAUCCAGUGGCAUCCCCAAAGGCUUGCAGUAGGCGGCGGACAAAUAGUGCCGCAUCAUCCGCAUAUAAACUCGUCCGGAAUUUGAUCGGUUCAGCACCAAUUGUGUUGAGAAUCCCUGCCUGUGUUGCUCUGUCCAGUAUUCGUUGCAAAGGAUCCAUUGCUAGGAUGAACAGCAUCGUUGAGAGGGGGUCACCGCCACGCCGGUGUCGAAUUGGUUUGCCUGGUAUCCCAUUGAGGAGUAUGCGUGAGGUCGUACAGCCCCACAAGAUUGAUAGAAUAUCUCGCCAUCUCUGCCCAAAACCCAACUUUUCCAUCACUUCCAGGAGGUACUCCCAUCGAACACUGUCAAAAGCUUUUGCCACAUCAAGUUUAAGGAACAACAUUGGCGUCUUCGCCUUGUGAUGGUGAUUUUGAUGCGGCGCAAUGCUGUGAACCCCAGUAUGCGCGCCUUGGCAUUCCUACGUGGAUUUAAUUCCGCUUCUGUGAGGCCCCGUUGUUCUUGAGCCUGAUCCAGCAGAUGGACUAUUGCUGUUGCAUGAUCGCAUCGCAGCUACUAGCGCUAGCAAGCAACCAACCACACACUCACAGCAAGUAACAUCAUCCCAGGCCAUGCAACUUGCUGCCCUUUGCCCCUUUUGCGCUCCCAGGAGGCGGGCGGCGAAGCCAAUCAGGGAACUGGAGCAGUAACUGCGGAAAGCUCCAGCGGGAGCUCGAUCGCGAGGUCACCGCCGUGCAGACGAGAAACAAGCCGUUGUCGUCUCGUCCCUGAGGAAAGAACCUGUGGACUGACGGGGCCCAUGACAAUGGACUGCCGCGACGUUUUCCCGUCGACGGGUGGGGAUCGGAACGGAAGCUGAGAGCGAGGCAGCGGGCCUGGACCGGUGGCCGUUUCUCCACGCCCUGCGGCUCCGAGCCUCUCUCAUCUGCAGGCUUGCCUGAUGGAGACAGCGUUUAUGAGGAAGCUCCUGAUUCCUGAAUGAUUAUCGGAGUGACGACUGAAUAUGUGUGACCUAAUAUUUUUAGAUCAAGCACAGUUUCCCCUGUUUGAUUGUCAGUUCUCAGUUGCACAGUCAUGCUCACAAAGAUGUGUUGCUAGGCGCUAAGUUUUGCAUCACAAGUAGCACAAUUACCAUUUUUUUUUAACAACUACUCACAGUAGUUGACGCAAAAAGCUCUUAGGCUUCUGACAAGAUCAUCGGCAAUACGUAUCUCUGAACGACGUUGAGGCACGACGUGCUUUGGCGGGGUUCUUGGAGCCCUUUUCCUCAUUGCGACGCCAAGCUCGACGACAUUCCUAGCCAAGUCACCACCUGAGAUGGUUCCCAUCGGCACAGCUUCCUUCCAUCUGGCCAUCUGGGGAGGAAGGAAGGGAAUCGAGGACACCUUGACAGGGAGGGAGAGGAGGCCAAGAGCAGGGAGGAAACCCGAGAGAUCCAACGUCCGUGUCGCCGUCGCGCCUUUUCCCUUUAACGUACUGUAGUGGUUGCGAUCGCUGUCCGGUUGUUUGUCGUCACCGCCAGCUUCCCGCCGGCCGUUGAACGUCGCCGUCGGCCACCUCUUGCUCCAAAAGGAACGCACGCACUCAGCGCCAGGGGAGGCUUUUCCGCUCGAGACUUCGUGUGUGCGUGCGGCCGCGGGAGGCGGGAGCUGCGGACGGAUCGAGAAUUCUCGCCGGAUCUUGAGUUGUUGGGGGCCAAGUUGUGCUGAGAAACGGGAUCAACUUGCGGCCGUGCCGACCUGAGCGCAGCGACGCGCGAAUCCACCAUGAGGGCUCGCAAUCGCAACCCAACUUCGCAACUCGCAAGAGAGCCCGGCCGGAGCGGGGGACGACGCCCGGAUGUGACCGCGCGGCCUGGGCUUGGACCAUCACCGCGGCAGAAAGGACUCUCAGCAGGUGUAGCGCAGCCCACUACAGCAACGUCGUCGUGUGCCGAUGGGUGGUGUCGCAUUUCAGCCUGAUAAGGUUAGGCGUAUGGGCCUAAAAAACGGACCAUGAACCCAGUCCCUUGAUGGGCCCAGCUGAAAAGAAGGAAAACGGGACAGACAAGGAGGAACAGUCCGAUUAUGUGCACGUCAUAUCGCCCCACCUGAGUCUACCAGGGCACAUAUGACCUAGAAGUAUAUGAAAAAAUUUCAAUAAAAAUAUGAAUUAAUAGAUUAUGAAAUUAUCUAUGUUCAUACAAAAUUUAAGAUCAAACAAACAUUUGUACGAUGAGGAACGAACAAGAAGAAAAAAAAAUAAACAUGUGAAUGAGUGCAGAUGUGGAUCACACACUCCAAUAAAAAAUAACAUAGUAAAAAACAAAAAAAAAGAAAUUAGCAUGUGAGCGGUGGACAGCACCAGAAAACAUAACAACCGCUAUACGAAGUUUGUUCAUCUGGUUUCUGACAGUUAACAAUGCAUCCUCUGACGCCGGUUAUCAUCGUUAAGCUAACUUAGCUGCAGAUGCAAAUGUCGGAGCAUCGGCCACGCGGCCCUGCCAAUAUGGGCCAUAACCCAGCUGCCUCUCACUGCAGACCAUACAAGCCUCCAACACAGGCGGCGUCCGCAGCUCGUACGGGUAAACGGCGCCGAAGAGCUUGUUCCGGAUGUGGUCGCGCUCCAGCUGCAUGGUCUUGACUCUUGAGGUCCAAUGUGAACAGCCACGUCUCCUCGUCCUCGGCCGGCGUCAACACGACAUACCCGUUCCCGGCCGUGACGAUCCUACCGGCGCUGCCGAAGAAGCACUCCUUGCGUCCUGGGAGCCCGCGGGUCGCCUCGGAGUCUCGGACAGGUUCAGAGUCCUCUCAAGUCUCAAGGCCCCACUCGCUGCUGCCGCGCUCCGGCUCCACGUCCGACGAGGCUGACGAGCCGCGCCAUGUCCGAGCCACCGUCGUCGACGAACCGGAAGGUCGAGUGGUCCUUGGAUCCCCGGAGGCGCGCGCGCCGGAAGAAGAUCCUGAAAGAAGACGACGCCGUGGGAGAGAUCUGAGGCGGUCAGGACGGUGCCGUCGCCGUCGCCGUCGAUGACCCACCACCCACCCAGAACACGGACCUCGUGGCGCGGCCCGAGAAGCGCGCGGACUCCGCGCCACGGAGCUGGACGAAGGACAUGUUCAUGGCCCGCGUGUUCCAGCGGCCGUCCGUCCAGACGCAGGACAGAGCGACGCCGACGUCGUCGGCCAUCCACGAGGAACGCUCGUAGAGCACGCAGGUCUCCUUGAACUCCGACAUGCUGAGGACGGCGGAGCACUUGCUGAGGCCUGAGGAAGACGCCGAGGCAGCGGAGGUACUUUAUGCCAUCGACCUCGAGUCCUCGAUGGGGCGGAUCCUGACGUGGCGGCGCGUGGCGAGCUCGCAGACGAUGAGCUCCAAGAAGAAGCCGCCGCGCCUCGGUUGGCGAGGAGGAGGCUGCCGAGACCGUCGACGAGCUCCCAGGACCGACGCCCGCGCCGAGGAACUCGAGGCCGGGAGAAGUGGCGUUACCGGACGGCGGACGCCGCCGACCGGGGACGAAGGCUACGCCGCGACGGGACGCCUGGCCCGGCGAGGGCGAGUAGGACGGGUUGGCGACAUGGUAGCAGCCGAGAACGUGGGGGGGCCGCGUGGCGAGACAGGAACUUGUCGGCGACGUCGUAGCCCGCGGCGAUGCGGCGCCACCGAGCCUGCACGUGGCCGCCGCGCGGACGAGGCCGAGGUGCGAGUCGAUCCGGAGGAGGACGAGCUUGAGGAGGCGGGCGGGGACGUCGCGCAGGGUGGUUGGUGGCCAGUGGCCUCGUCGCCGGCGGCGCCUGCUUCUUGCACUGUCUAGGAGGAGGACUCCGUCUAGAAGCACGAAACGCAACCGAGAUGUACUCUUUUUUGGGAAACUGAACCGAGAUGGACUCGAGGAGCGAAAUCGAUGCUCAUAACCCGGCAGCCGGCAUCAUAUAUGUGGUUUCUGUUUCUCUCUAAUCUCUCGGGGAACGGAAAAUAGAUAGGAGAAGAUGCCUCCUGGCAGGAUCAGAAGGCUGAAGAGGGAGCGCAGGAAGAUGAUGGCCGCUGCGAGGAUGACCAAUGAUUCUAAUGCGACGACCAAUGGCACUACCGCGAUGACUGUCAAGGACGAGCCGAUGGGCGGCCCGGAGGCGCUCCCGCCACAGUUGGGAACGACGGAUGGUUCUACUGGAGGCACUAACGCAUUGGCUGUAUUGAACCAGUCGGUGGGCGACAAGGAGGCGCUAGCUCCCGCCAUGGUGGACGCGACCGAUGGUUCUACUGCGACGAACGGUAGGAAACACAAAGGGAAGAAGAAGAGGAAGAAGAAGACGACGACGUCGACGAGGACCGAUAGCACUACCGCAGCGACUAUCAUGAACCAGCCGGUGGGCAGCAAGGUAGCGCUAGCUCUCUCCACGGUGGGCGCAACCGAUGGUUCUACUACUCUCCAUGGUGAAAUGCAAAAUGAAGAAGGAGAUAUCGUAGAGAUCACAUACCUGCAGGAUAUGAACACCAAGACGACUGUCAAGAACCAGCCAUUGGGCGUCCAGGAGGCACUUCUGCCAAGAUGGACGAUGACCAAUGGGUCUACUGUGACAACUGGCAUGAAACCCAAAAGAAAGAAGAAGAAGAAGACGGCGACCAAGUUGCCACGGUCGUGGCAGGAGCACAAAAUCAAAGGUAGGAUCUCAACCCAAAGCCUUUGUGGCAUAUUUAGCAAUAUAGUGUGAUGCCAAUGCUUUGAGUUGGCCAGUCCUAGCACUUCCCAUAUUUUUUUAAUUAUUUUCUUCCAAACUGUCCUCUACCUCUGUUUGAAAUCAGACCCAUUUCAUUUCCUUAUUAGGCUAGCUCAUGAUUAAUAAUUACUCAACUAAUACUUAAUCUUUAGGACAGAAAUUUGAUGUUAUUAGAUUAUAAUAAAAAAUUACUUAAUUUGGGUUUGUAUCUCCUAGCGUACCUCCACCACUUAUAGUUCUAAAUUCAAUAUGUUAAGUGAUCUCGGCAUGCAAUGCACCAACUAACCUUGACUAGCAGCCCACAUGAAAUGAUUCUCAAAUUUGACUUUUUGAAGGAUUAUGAUACUCAGUUCAGUCCUUUUUUCCCCUGCAGGUGGGAAAAAGUUAAUAAUCGUCAAACUUCGUAAAGACAUAUUUAGCUGCAAACCAGGUGACCCGCUAAUAACUGGCAGACUCAGUGAAGCUGCGGUUCACCAAUACCUUUCCGAGUUGCUUGGACCGAGGAACGUCGAGUGGAUGAACAAAUAUCGAGAAUCCGGAUUGCCUUAUGACAUUGUCAUCACAAGGGGUGGUGUUACAGAGUAUGUGGAGGUGAAGGCAGGCAUGGCUCCAGACGAGCAAGCGUUCCACAUCAUCCAACCUAGUGAAUGGCAGUUUCUGUCGGAGAAAAGAGGUUAUUCGAGCAUUGCCCAUGUCUCGUUCCUUGCUCCGGACGUAGCAGCCAUCGUGAUGCUGAGAAAUCCUCACAAGCUUUGCCAGAAAAAGGACCUGGGUCUUGCUCUUGUUAUGUCCAAGGAAUUCGAAGAGCACUUUGCGAAAAGGACGAACCAGAUUUCAGUUGUAUUGAACACUGGCUUUGAAUUAUAAUUUGGUUUUGUUGUAUUGGAGUUAAUAAUCCGGAUUGAUACUUUGGUAUGCCUUUUAUCUGUCAGCCAUGCCGUUGUGCCUCCCGACUUUAGCCCUUUACAUUUUGGUGUCCUGUGUCCAUAUCCGAGUCUGUGGUCGUCUCUACGAUAUCUUGUAUAUGCUCCAUGGUAACUGAUCGAGCGCGAAGAUUUGACACGGAGUGAAGAUUAGUUCUGGAGAACUUCACAUGUAGACACCAAUUCCUGCUUGCCUAUUCUUGCCAAAGGAAAAUGAAGAGUGCCGAGUUUAAUUUUCUGGCGUUGCAUCGGGUGUCCAUUCGCGCAGAUUAUAUUGUACGCAGCGUGCACGUGUUUGUUCAGGCACACAAUAGUGUAGACAUAGAGAUUUUGUUCUGUGUUCUGUAAAUUAAUUUGGGCUAUGGAAAGCUUUGGUCCCCAAACUCCCAACUUUGGCACUAUGCAAAAAGAAGAUUCCCCAUCACAUCAAACUUGCGGUACAUGCAUGAAGUACUAAAUGUAGACGUAAUCAAAAACUAAUUGCACAGUUUUGUUGUACUUUGCGAGACGAAUCUUUUGAGCCUAAUUAGUCAAUGUAUGGACAAUAAUUAACAAAUACAAACGAAAUGCUACAGUUGCACAUUUAUGGUAAAAUUCCAACUUUGUCACUCCUAAAUUGGGGACUAAACAAGGCCUUUCAUAUUCCUGCACAUCGGUGGCUAAAUACUGAGUGCUGACCUUAUACUGGAUCUUAAGCUUUCAUAUGACGCGUGUUUUGGACUAUGGAAAACAAGCAUGUUGUAAAUUCAAGAAUGUUUGCUUUGGAUAAAUUUUUAUAUGCCUACAAUGAUGUGGAUAUGUUUGCUUUCAUAGUAUGUACCUAGAAAAGCCAAAACGAAUAGUAAUUUAGGAUGGAGGGAAUAUUUAUUAGGAAUGGACGGAGAAGCAAUAAUAGAUUAGGCUUAUAAUUACUUCCUUUCGUUUGGGUACUUUUCUUUUAAUUAUUUGUGAUCAACCGUGAGCUAAGAAUAAUGUAAAAACUUGACUGGGUGCGGUCGUAGAGGCAAAAGAUUAUUCAUUUUUCUAAAAAAACAAUGCAUGGACAUUGUAUAGGAUGCUCUCCCGAACCUAAUGGUCGUUUGGUUUGUGCACAAACAUGGAUCUAAAGAAGGUGUGUAUUCGGAUGUGACCAAAACGUAGUUAAAUUUUCCAAACAUUGUUAACCAUCCAUUUAGUACCAAAUUCUUAAAUCUAGCCAAAUUUUGAAAAGCUCGAGGCAGCCGCACACCCGCCGUCUCCUUCUAGCUAGGAAAUAAUAUUAAGGGAGAUAAAACUGAACAGAUGUUUAGGCAUGCAUGAAGAAUCACAUGGUGCAUGGAGAUCCCAUCGAUCAAGUCACAGUCGCGCUCGGUUACCUUCGACGUGGUUCGAUUCGGAUUACAUUUGAGCCCACGCAGCAGCAAAUCAGAGCUCAUUGAUGGGCCCGGUUGCUCAUCGUAGGUGGAGAGAAAGCAAACUGACAACGACUCGGCUUCGCUUCGUGAGAUAGAAGUCGAUGCCGACAUCGAUCAAUAUAACGCUCGUCGCAAGGUUAUUAGAGGGACACAGAGUAUUCGAUGAUCUCGUCUCAGAAAAGAUAAGCUAAAUAAAGCUUCAUAUAUACAGCAAACGGGGAUCGCAAGGGCGGCGGCACGACACGGGAGAGGAGACGAUGGAGAGCAGGAAGACGAAGACGAACGGCUCCUCCACGACGUCUACGAACCGGGGCAGGUUCGGUAGGUUCGGCGUCUUCUCUUCUCCUCUACGGAGGAAGGUCAUGGAGAAGCGCGAGGCGGCGGUGCAGGAGCGCGGCGGUGGCAAUGUGAUCGUCGCGGUGGCGCCGGUCGAGGAGGCCGACUCACAUCAUCCAAGCCCACCGGAAGACGACGACGAUGGUCGGCCUGAUCUUCUCCAAUCCCCGCAGGCGGCUUCGCCCAGCGGCCGGCUCGAAGGAGAGUCAGAUGUCCAGCCUCGGUCAAGCUCAAGCAUCGACAGACCACCUGGUGAAGCUUCGGACGAUGCUGAUCGGUCUCGUUCAAGACCCGAUAAGCGUGGCAAAGCUUCAGAUUAUAUGCCUCGGCGUGUGAUCACCGGCAGGAUCGGGGAAGGUGCAGUUUACCAAUACCUCGUCGAGCAGCUGGGAAGGGACAAAGUCAGCUGGGUGAACGGACGCCAUGAGUCCGGGCUGCCCUACGACAUCGUCGUCGUCACAAAUAAUGGCGCCACGGAGUACGUGGAGGUGAAGACGACCGUUCAUCCGGAGAAGAAUUGGUUCCAGAUCAGUGUCCACGAGUGGGAAUUUAUGGUGGAGAAAGGGGCCUCGUUGAGCAUCGCCCGUGUGCUCUUGCAGGGUGAAGACAUGGCCAGCAUCGUGAUGCUGAAAAACCCGCUCAGGCUCUGUGAGCAGCAGGGUCUAAAUCUCGCACUGAAACUUUAGAAUACGCUGGUGACAACAUGAACCACUUCACUUCUGUUGAACCUUGCUGUGAAAAAUAUGCUAACAUGAAAAAUGGUUCGGUACAGGGUUUUAAUUAAAGAACAGGAGAACAAGUGAAGAAUACAGAGGCGGAAUCAUUUUCUGGAUGAGAUUCUAGUACAUGUGUUUGGUGUUCGGAGUUCACCAGAGGAUCCAGUUUAUUGAAGUACUACAAGGUACAAGACCUUCCUCGAAGUUUUAGCCUGUUGCAAGACCCUGUGAGUAACGGACAUGAAGAAUUUAGUGGCGAAAUUCAGCUUUGGAUUGAAGAGAGAAUGUUCGGUGCAAGAAGAUGAUGAGUGAGGUUGCAGUCAGGGAAAACUUCUUCGGUGAUAUUUCCAAAUUUUUGUGUUUAUUUACAAAAAUUUCAUAUAGUGGAUCUAUCUAAUGUGUUAAGUUUGUGAUAUAUUGUCAUAUUUCUUUGUUGUUAUAUACAAAAUUAUGAUGUAAGAUGGUUCAGGGACCUAUUCUAACUAUCAUGCAAACAAACUGUUUUUUAUCCGAUAUUUGUCGGUAUGGUUUGAUAAAUUUUGUUUAAUGAAAUUUGGAACCCUGGCUAGCAAUUGCAGAUUGCCAUCAAAACAUGGAUUUGGCAUGGGAUUAGUUUGUCUUAAUAGCUAUUUGUAGAAUGGGGAUAGUUGGGAGGAUGGUGCAAGAAUAAGCAAUGACAUGUGAGAAGUUUCAUAGCAUUGAAAAAGUAUCUUUAAAAAAUGGAGCUGGUACAAAGUAUGUGAAAUCAGGGGAGGAGUCAGAAAAUGAGUUUUUUUUCUUUGUAAGAGGGGAGCAAUUGUGCAAAUUUUCUUCAAAAUUUGAUCAAGUUCAAAAAUUUUAGUUCCCCCUCAGCACCACUGAGUGUAAUCUAUAUCUCCUAUAUAGAAGCACCCCACUACGAAGCAUUGGUUUCUAUUUCUCUCAAACCUCAACGAGCCACAUCAUUCACAUUGUUUUAACCAUCCGAUUGUUUUCUCAGCCCCUCUUCUUUACUCAGCACCUUGGCAGAUCAAGAGACCACCGCAGCUAAUGGCACUAAUGGCAUUAAUCCUCCAUCAAUCAUCCACGUUCCCAUCAUAAAAUUUGAAGCAUCGCACUCUAUUGGGCACCCUGCUGGUGAGGUAUGACAUUCAUCUCCUCCUUUGGAUUCACUCAGGGUAUGCCAUUCAUCUCCUCAUUUGGAUUCACUCAGGUUCUUCAAUCGACUAUUUUGUGCAUUGUUGCUGUUUCAAACUUGCCCAUGGUUUCAUGCACCCAAUCUGUUUGAUCUAUUGCCUCUUAGAAACUCUUGCAUAAACCAUUCUAAAUUUUCUCUGCAAAUCUGUAGGUUCAUAUAAAUUGAUUUCGCCUCUGGAAAUAGCAAGAUUAUUGGCCUCCUUGAGUCAUUCAGGUAACAAACUGUGCUCCAACUUUAUUAGCAUUUCUAAGUGUGCAGUUGUCCUCAUUCUGUUUGUUUUAGCGAUUAAUUGUUGUGUGGACAUCCUUACUUUCGGCAAUCAAUCAGUUUUUUCCCUUAUUUUGUUACUUCCAGUUUUACAUGACCUUGGUGUCCCACGUUUGCAAUUGUAAAUCUGUAGGUUGAUAAAAAUUGAUUACAUCAUAUCUCUUCUACUAACAACCAAAAUACUAUUUUCGAUUAGAAUGGCACAUAAACCCUUAUAUGCACUUUUUAUUUACUCUUCAAUCAGUUCUCCCAAGAAGAUGCAAGAUAGAUAUGUCCAAGCAAUGAAUAAGCUCAAGUUUGAUACAAGCCCAAAAGUUUGUGUUAAUCUCACAGGCAAUUCUCAGAGUGAACACAUAACCACACACCUACCAACUAACAACCACACGAUCAUUGUUCACUACAUACGAAAGGGACAACCAUAGCUGCAAGCUAUUUUCAGUGAAGAGAACUCCAAGAACACAAAUGGAAAGUAGUUCAUUUAUUGCAAAUCUAUGUUAUUUUUUCAAUAAUUUCAAUUUUCAUACCAUACAUAACAGCAUAUGUAUCGUCCUCAGUUAUAUAUUAAAUAAAAUUAAUUUUAUAGAAUAAUUUACCUUCGUGUAAAAAAGGCCAAACCUUAACUCUUUCCUGAUUGCAUCACAUAAUCAUAAAAAAUACACAAAAUAUCCGGCAGCAAUGCGUGGGGAAUUCACCUAGUAGUUCAUUAUGGAGGUGCCAUUUCAUUCAGGUUGUCUCUUGAAUUGACUAUUCAUGCACGUAUGUCUUCCAUUUGGCUACAAUUUUCAGAAGGAUAAAAGGAAGUGACAGCAGCAGUUUAGCAAUAGGGCUGGACGGAGAGGAUUGAAUGAUUACCUCCAUGGCUCCAUCCUUCUAUAUAUUGUGUUACUCUACUACUCCUUGCUUAACUCAAAUGUUGCAGUCGGUUAUACAACACGGCAAGAUGUUGGCACUGUACUUUACUUUUUCUAAAAAAAUAUUUAACUGCAACACACUUUCAGGAAAAAAUAAUUACAUGGGAAGUUUUUUUUUGGAAAAUGUACAAAAUCCAUGCCUCUGCAAAUUACACGGGAGGUGAUAGAGCUUUUUCAAAAGGAACUCUAUUUCAUCCAUUGCGAUUUAUCAUUACUAUGAUGUAAAUCCCUACUCCUUUUCCUUGGUAUAUUUGUUAAGGCUAUACAACAAUCAAGUGCGUUUUGUUUUCGUAUCAGUCGAUUUCUUAACCGAUAAUAUUAUGACACGUAGUAACAGGAAUUGGCUAGGGGAAAAACAGUUGACAACUGAAGCAAAUUCAGUCGAUUCUGACCAGCUCUCCUCAACAUGGCAUUGCUUUUUGAGCAGCCGCCUUGGCAUUGUUCGGUAGACCAUCCCGCCAUGGUUGACUACAGCACAAUUUGAAACUGCGAUGCGGGUGUGACGACUAUAAGAUUACAGAGGCGCGUGGGGUCUAGGUGGAACGCCGUGCCUCUCAGCAUCGGCGGCUGCUUGUUUACAUAGAGCAAGGAACAUCCCCUUAUGUGGAUUACAUCUUGGCGCACAAGAUUAGGAGCUGGCUGUUGGUUUGUUGUGAUUCACAGGACAAGAUACAACAGCUAUCAACUAGGAUAUCUACAAGCUAACAACAUUGACUAACAGUCAGCUAACCAAGAUCUUGUGCGCAUUGUUACAAUUUAGGUGUAUAACAACUCAUGUCUAUCUAAUAACGACGACCGCCCCGACGCAUGCGUCCGUGAUGGCGAGCCGAGAGCAGGGAGGCGGCCAUGCCUCGCCGUGGUCGGAAGGCAGGGAAGGAACCGCUGAGUUCAUAACAGCUCCGUUGGGCUGGACAAGCUGGUCUACAUGUCGUCAGCAAGAACGGCCAAGGCGGCCCAUGGGCAUGGUCACCAUGCGGCAGAGAGACGACUAGGGAUGAAAACGGACAGAAUCAGGCGGCAGAACUCCUCUCCCAUUUCUGUUACCUUAUUUUUUCACCGAGAACGGAAGCAGGAGCGGGACGGGAGUCGAGAUGUAUGGGUAUACGAAAAUGGACAAAUAUGGAUGAUAGUACAACGAAAAUGGUCGAGAACCCAGAACUUAAUCCGGUCACACAAUAUAAAGUCUGACUCACAAUAAUGACACCUACACAUCAACUGAGAUUCUAAGAGACCAUCAGUGAACGUAAGGAACAAGGCAUCCUCUUUCUCUUUUUUUUAAAAGAAAUUACAUCUUGUUUCACGUUGCAGCUAGCUGCUGUAUGUCUGCACCUGCAGGCAGAAAGCUAGCAAAGUAUAGCAAAACAAAGUGAGCAGUGCCAGAGUGGCAGAAAGGAGCAAGCGACCCUGCUCCAGACGGUCAAGGCUUUGACGCACGACGCUGUCUCUUGGGCCGGGACCUUGGUAUAUUUGGGCCCAUCCCGGAUAAAUCCAAAACGGGACAAAAACGGGAUCAUCCGGUUGAAAAUGGAAUACCGUAAAUACGGACGGGAUACACCAUCAACCGCAUUCCGUACCAUUCCGUGUACUCCCGUCCCGGACUUUACCAUCCCGUUUUCGUAUAGCUCAAAAUACGAGAUAAAUACGGGAAAACAGGAUUUUUCUGUCCACUUUCAUAGCCAGAGACGACGGAAUACAGCGCCUAAAGGAGGACAGAAGCCCACGAAAGGAGGACAGAAACAAUACAAAUACAGCCCACGAAAGAAGGCCGCUGAUUAGCGACCCUGGAAGAGCCCAGCCCAGCGUACGUAGGUAACGGAAAGGCAAACGAACGGACUCGAGGAAGUCAGCCCGUACCGGCGUGCCGACUCAUCAUAUACCGCACGAGUGUUGCGCAGACACUGAAGGGACGCUCGGAGCGUUUGGACUGGAGAGAUGGCCCCUGCCAAGACCGGAAGGCGGAACAACCGCCAGGAGAAGAAGAUGACCACGACCACGAGGGCGAGUAGGGCGGUCGGUAACCGGCGUCCGAUCGGAUCCGCGUUCUCCAAGUUCGGGAGGGUUGCCGCUCUGCACGCGCGGCGAAAGAUCGUCAAAGAACGGGGCAGCAAGCGCGGCCGAUCUGGUGGCUUGGCCACCGGAAGAAGUAAGUACAUAUAUGUAUCCCGAUUCGAUUCAUCACUCGAUAUAUGCUAGCGGUGUUCCUUCCCGUAAGUAAAAAGUUACAUGAGAAGAAACUUGGUCUCUUUGUAAUUCGUUCCAUGUGCUAGUAGUGGGGGGCUAUAUAUAGUGGUGAUUAUUAGGAGGCAUUUGAGAAGUAACGAGUUACGAGUAUAUCGGAAAUCUUAGUUUUCUCUGUGUGUUUUGUAGUUGUUUUGCGAUUGACAGUAGAACUAAAUAGGUUGAACAAUCUAUCCAGUUGGUUUCAACACUCCAUAGACAGUAGCCUAGUAGGCAAAAGAAGUCAUCCCCAUUUGUGGCUGUCCACGAUCCGGCCAUUUUGUUAUUAUGGGAAGAAGAUAUGCAGUCGAUUGAAUUUUUUAUUAAAUAUUUAAAUAUCAAAUGGACUCUUCAGCCCGUGAACUUAGCGGAUACUAUGAUAGCACCAAUUUUACCAAUUCGUCUAAGAAGGGAACCCCUUGUUCCCUUUCUUGCUUAUUAUAGCAUGCUUCAAUGUCUCUAUGUAAUUCCACUUCUGUUCUCAUUAGGUCAGACUGUAACCUCACUUGCAAAUGAAAAGAAAUGGAUGAGACUGUAAUUUAGAUAUUCUGACAUUUUAUCAUGUAAGUACACACACUACGUAAUUUAUGCAGAGUUUACAGUUCUGUGUAAUGCAUUAAUUAACGUUUGCUGGUUCUCAAAUUAAACCAUGGACCCAAUGAAUUCAAACAUUCAUACGUGGCUGGAUCUAAAGAAGGAAUUAAUGGAAAUUGGAAGAUGGUAUAUUGGUUGAAGAAAGAAUGGUAGUAUAUAUGUACUGCCCAUUUCAAAUUAUAAGUCGUUUUAGCUUUUCUAGAUAGAUAUAUAUUAUGUUUAGAUACAUAACAAAAUCUAUAUAUGUAAAAAAGCUAAAAUGACAUACAAUUGGAACGGAUGGAGUAAUUGGUAAUAACAAAUCUGAUUAUUUGGAGUUUCGGCUGGUGUAAGCUUGCAACUGAGCUAAUUAGUAAUUCAGAAAUUGACUGCUGUUACAGAUGAGAGGGUCCGGCUCGAUGCCAGGGUCCUAGAUGCAAACAUGUUAAGUUCCCGUAGACACGGUGAAGGUGUGGCUCACAAACAAGACGGAUUAGUCACUGGCAGGCUUGGCGAGUCUGCAGUCCAUAAAUAUUUCGUUGAGAAGCUUGGAUGUAGUAGCAUAAAGUGGAUGAACGAAGACAAUGAAUCCGGGCUACUUUACGAUAUCAGCAUCACAAAAGCUGAUGCAACAGAAUACGUGGAAGUGAAAGCAACAUCUAUUCCAAACAAGAACCGGUUCCACAUUACACGCAGGGAACUACAGUUUGCAGCAGAGAAAGGAGAUUCGUUAACCAUUGCCUAUGUUUUGCUGUCGAAGCCAGAUAAAGCAAGCAUUGUGUUUCUGAAAAACCCGCACAAGCUUGUACGACAGAGGGAUUUGAAACCAGCAAGCAUUGUGUUUUUCAAAAGCUGACACGAGCUUCUACGACAAAGGGAUUUGAAGCCUGCCCUUGUAAUGUCGACGAGAUGCGAAAAGCUUGUCAGCAAAUUCAUGGAACAAAUCUCAGUUGUACUGAAGCGGUGAAGCCUGGCUGUAAAUGAUAACCAGUUCAAGUGAGAUGAAUCUUCAUCUUGGUAUGCCUUACUUGCCCCUAUACCAUGCAACUGUUAUUUGCAUCCUCCAUCCUAGUUCUUUUAAAAUUUCCUCUUGCCGCAUGAAACCUGGAACCUCGAGUUGUAAGGUUAACCAUGCUGUUGUUGCUUAACAGUAUAGUGUAUAAAUAAGCGAGUACAGCUUUCGUAUGGAUGUUAUUAGUUUGCUGCAAUGGCUGGCAGCCUGCGGCUCUGUAUAAGUGACAGUGGCCUUCUUGCCGCCGUAAGAAUGUAAGUGCAAGGCGCCGGUCGAUGCAAUGCAGUUGGCUUAUAUAUCUAAGAUCCGAUUAUCCGAGCACGGCUUAAAUAUACUCUGGCUUUGUUGCACAAAGUUUGCGAUUAGCCAUGUGCUUCCAUAGUGAUUCAUCAGGUUCAAUGUCCACACAUGCAUGUUUCCCCAAUGUGAACCAUUUUGGACACUUGAGGGUAUGAUGUCUUCCAGAAAGCAUCAACAAUGAUGCAAUCCAUCAUGUGCAAACAAAAUUAAAGCAAGAUCACAUUAGGCGAACAUUAUUAAGUAGUAAUAAUGUCGCUAAUUCAUGAUCCUCUGUUCACAAACAUAUACAUAACCAUAGUUUACAAAGCCCGGCAAUGUGUGCUGUAUUUUGAUAUUCUAUUGUCAUGGCUACAUAUUAGGAAUAAAUUGGUGCAUUGCGUUGUCAAAAUACAACAGCAUUCCCACUAAGCCAUAAGGCCAACUGGCCAAGCAUAGAGCAGGCUCCAAUCAAUAUGAGCACCACUAGCUAGUGGAUCUAAACUAAGGGAAAUCUGUAAAGCCUCCUAAAAACCUUAGGGUGUGAUCGGACAACUUUUGUUCGUCGCUGGUUUGAUCUGUCAGUUGAUCAGUAUUACUGCGACAUGGUGGAAUGUGUCUAUGGGUGAAAGCUUGCCUUGGUUUAUGUUGGUGCCCACAGGGAUGGCGAUUUUGUUGAUAUCAUUGUAAGGACUGCAGAGGUGUGAAUCUUUCUCCACGCUUUGCAGGUCGGAUCCCAUAUUUUCCAGUGGCUGGAGACGUCGCAGUUAGAGGAAGAAGGUGAGCGGCGUUUCCUUUUAACAAAGGUGAUCGGUAUUGUGGAAGGAAAAGACGGCAGAGCGCUCAAGGUUGAGGACAGCGGGGCCGUGUGAUAAUGGGCUGCUCUGCACCCAGUACUGGGCUGCCCAGUUUGAGGGAAUUCUUCCCGCACUCCACUCAUACUCCAUGAAGACAUCCACCACCUCGGAAGUGCUCUGAGGAAUAAUUAGCCACCAUUAAUAGAAUCACCUCACUACCGUUGUAUUACUCCACCACCUCUGUACUACUACUAGAAUAAAGGGAGGCCGUCAAAUCUCGUCCCUCGGUUUGUAAGGUAAUCAAGGUUUGUGCUAAGUGCUUGGGGUUUCCCAAAAGGGAAAGCCGCGUGUAAGCUUGUCCCGUGGAAAUAGAUUAAGCUGUCCUGGUAGCAUCCCUGCCUUCCUUUAAGCUCGUUCGUAUGGGGCGAUGUCUCUACAUUAGGGAGAACUGCCUAGGGCGGUAGAGCCUGAGUCCUGUGUGAGCGUAGCUGGGGACGGUGAGGGUGAAGACCGGGCUGGCUGGUUCUGAAGCGAGCCAACGACACAUGCGGUGAGUACCGAGUAGGACUGUCACAAGCAUAGCAGCACGUCCGGCUGAAUUUUUCGGUCUCGUCAACCCGCAAAGAUCCUGAGAAUCGAUAUAAUCAAGAUAUAUACCUAAUCACGCACCCGCGCGUACCAUAUCUGCUGAAAGCGACCCCGAAUAGUAGCUCAAUAGUGCUCAAUAGUGAGCAAAUAGUGCCACCACAUUUCCAUCCAUCCUGAGGUGCUCCACCCACUCCCUGGUGAGUGCUCGGGCCCUAUUCAUAUUCCUAUUUUGAAUAGUGAGCUGAAUUUCAAUAGUGCCGCGAAUUUGAAUAGUAUUCGUUGAAUUUGAAUAGUGCAGUGAAUAGUAACUUGAAAUUUGAAAUCCGAUUUUUUUCGAAGUCGCUUGAAUUUCCCUCGUUUCGUCUUUUGUUCCCGCACUGGUAUUAGAGCCGUGGUUAUUAAAAUUUGUGAAUUUGAAGGUUUUUCUAUAUCUAGUCAAAAUUGAAAACUUCAUUAUUUAAAUCUAGAAGUUAACACCGGAAAGACAGUUAAUACUAAAGAAAAUAUAAAUAUUAGGUGCAGAAUAAAUAGUUCUGAAGAUCAUACUUGGCAUACCUCACACGGUCAGAUAAACUUAAUAGUUGAUUUAAUCCAAAUCUCUGACAUGUCUUGGGGAAACGCCGUGCCGCCUUAGAAUCAAGAUGUGGGCUGCUUCAAAACGCACAUAAGCGCUGAGUUGGGCUUGGUCUAGCAUUGAAUAAUAGAAUAGAUCAAUUUGGCACGCAGCUGGAGAAAGUAGAAGUUUAGUAGGAAGAAUCAUCCAAACUAGUGAUUAUAUUAAAAAGGAUAUAACCCACCUAUAUAAGAAAUUUGAUAAUAUCUAAUACUGAGAAUAGUAAAGAAAUUGUUCUAUCAUCAACAGGAAUAGUUGAGUUUAAUAGAUCAUUAAAUUCUGAAAAAUGGAAAUAUCUAAAAGUGUCUCUUGAAGAGACAAGUCACUCCAACUAAUAAAUAGAGACAUAAAGCCCUUAAGCUUUAUCGAUAGAUUGAAAGGAGGAUGUGAUGAUAUUGAAAACUUAGACGAAAUGAUAGAUGCAGAAAGGGAUCUUGAAAGAUAUCAGAGAGAUACCUUAAGAAAAAUAAGAGCCCAGCAAAUAUAUCAAAUGGGGUGGUUUGAAAAUAAAAAUGGACUAUCUAGAAUAUCUAGAGAAGUAGUAACUCGAAAUUUGGUAGACCGGAGGUGGGUUAUUAUCUAGAGAAGUAGUAACUCAAAAUUUAGUAACUCGAAAAUUUCGAGUUACUACUUCUCUAGAUAUUCUAUAUAGUCCAUUUUUAUUUUCAAACCAUCCCAUUUGAUAUAUUUGCUGAGGUCUUAUCUUUCUUAAAGUAUCUCUCUGAUAUCUUUCAAGAUCUGUUUCUACAUCUAUCAUUUCUUCUAAGUUUGCAAUAUCAUCACAUCCUCCUUUCAAUCUAUCGAUAAAGCUUAAGGGCUUUAUGUCUUUAUUUAUUAGUUGGAGUGACUUGUCUCUUCUAGAGACUUUCAGAUAUUUCCAUUUUUCAGAAUUUAAUGAUCUAUUAAACUCAACUAUUCCUGUUGAUGAUAGAACAAUUUCUUUAUUAUACUCAAUAUUAGUAUUAUCAAAUUUCUUAUAUAGGUGGGUUAUAUCCUUUUUAAUAUAAUCACUAUUUUGGAUGAUUCUUCUGAGUGAAUUCUUACUUUCUUCAGCUGCUUGCAAGAUUAAUUCUAUUUUAUUAUUCAAGGUUAAAAUAUGCUCUUCUAAGUGCUUAUGUUUUUUUAGUAGUUUUUUAAAUUUUAAUUCUAAGUCGUCUUGCCUUUUACCCCAAGAUAUAUAAAAGUUAUGUAUUAAAUCAACUAUUAAGUUUAUCUGACCGUGUGAGGUAUGCCAAGUAUGAUCUUCAGAACUAUUUAUUCUGCACCUAAUAUUUAUAUUUUCUUUAGUAUUAACUGUCUUUCUGGUAUAAGCUUCUAGAUUUAAAUAGUGAAGUUUUCAAUUUUGACUAGAUAUAGAAAAACCCUCAAAUUCACAUAUUUUAAUAACCACGGCUCUGAUAUCAGUGCGGGAACAAAAGACGAAACGAUGGAAAUUCAAGCAACUUCGAAAAAUUCGGAUUUCAAAUUUCGAGUUACUAUUCACUGCACUAUUCAAAUUCAGGGCACUAUUCAAAUUCAACUCACUAUUCAAAAUGGGAAUAUGAAUAGUGCCCGAGCACUCACCAGGGAGUGGGUGGAGCACCUAAGGAUGGAUGAAAAUGUGGCGGCACUAUUUGCUCACUAUUGAGCACUAUUGAGCUACUAUACGGGGUCGCUUUCAGCAGAUAUGGUACACCCGGGUGCGUGAUUAGGUAUAUAUCUUGAUUAUAUUGAUUCUCAGGAUCUUUGCGGGUUGGCGAGAUCAAAAAUUUCAGCCGGACGUGCUGUUAUGCUUGUGUCAAUCCUACUCGGUACUCACCGCAUGCGUCGCUGGCUCGCUUUAGAACCAGGCCAGCCCGGUCUUCACCCUCACCGUGCCCAGCCACGCUCACACAGGACUCAGGCUCUACCGUCUCCCCAGGUAGUUCCACCCGAAGGGAACACUUCUCUGCGCACACAGGGUUCUCCUGAAACGCCGCUACCAGGACUAACACGAGAACGACACACGCAGAGGUUUCUCCUCUAGGGUCCCUAGCGUAGAAACAUCGCCCCAUACGAACGAGCUUAAAGGAUGGCAGGGAUGCUACCAGGACAGCUUAAUCCAUUUCCACGGGACAAGCUUACACGUGACUUUCCCUUUCGGGAAACCCCAAGCACUUAGCACAAACCUUGAUUACCUUACAAACCGAGGGACGAGCUCCGACGGCCUCCCUUUAUUCUAGUAGUAGUACAGAGGUGGUGGAGUAAUAUAGUGGUAGUGGGGUGAUUCUACUAAUGGUGGCUAAUUAUUCCUCAGUGCACUUCCGAGGUGGUGGAUGCCUUCAUGGAGUAUGAGUGGAGUGUGGGUGGAGGUCUUCGGUGAUCUUGCUUCUUCAGUGGUGUGGUUGUGGAUGUCUGCUUCGAUGAUUCCUUCGGUGAUUUCGAAUGGUUCACCUGGCAGCCCCUUUUAUAGUCGCGGCAGAGGCUUCUGGAGUUGCUUCGUGCUUAAGACUUCUGGUGCCUUCAAUUAUUCUCCUCUUCUGUUGCCUGGACACCUGGACGGCACUCCAUUCAAUAAUUGUCCUGGCUACAGUAGAAGUCACUGUUUAUUCCUUUUGCCUUGUCCUCUAUCGCGCACUGUCUUCUCGUGACAUUCUGGAUGCUGCUUGGUAUGGUUUUCCACGCCCAAAUGAUUGAUGUCGUAUACUUUAAUCACAACAUUAUGGCAUGCAGUAUGCAGUAUGAUACCAGUGCAAGGAACAAAGACGGAGCGAGGGAAAUUCAAGCGACUUCAAAAAUUUCAGAUUUCAAAUUUUGAGUUACUAUUCACUGCACUAUUCAAAUUCAACGAACACUAUUCAAAUUCACGGCACUAUUGAAAUUCAGCUCACUAUUCAAAAUGGGAAUAUGAAUAGUGCCCGAGCACUCACCAAGGAGUGGGUGGAGCACCUCAGGAUGGAUGAAAAUGUGGCGGCACUAUUAGCUCACUAUUGAUCACUAUUGAGCUACUAUUCAGGGUCGCUUUCAGCAACUUUUCGGCGGAUGCGGUACGCACAGGUGAGAGAUAGAGGAUAAGGCAAAAGGAAUAAAUAGGGACUCUACUGUAGCCAGGACAAUUAUUGAAGAGCGGAGCGCCGUCCAGCUGUUCAGGCAAUAGAAGAGGAGGAGACUCCCGAAACCUCUGCUGCGGCUAUAAAAGGAGCUGCCAAGUGAAGCAUUCAGUAUCACCGAAGGAAUCACCGAAGCAGACAUCGCAGAACCACACCACCGAAGAAGGAAGAUCACCGAAGACCUCCACCCACACUCCACUCAUACUCCAUGAAGAUAUCCACCACCUCGGAAGUGCUCUGAGGAAAUAGUAGCCACCAUUAGUAGAAUCACCCCACUACCAUUGUAUUACUCCACCACCUCUGUACUACUACUAGAAUAAAGGGAGGCCGUCGAAGCUCGUCCCUCGGUUUGUAAGGUAAUUAAGGUUUGUGCUAAGUGCUUGGGGUUUCCCGAAAGGGAAAGCCGCGUGUAAACUUAUCCCAUGGAAAUGGAUUAAGCUAUCCUAGUAGCAUCCCUGCCUUCCUUUAAGCUCGUUCGUAUGGGGCGAUGUCUCUACGCUAGGGACCCUAGAGGAGAAAUCUCUGCGUGUGUCGUUCUCGUGUUAGCCCUGGUAGCGGCGUUUGAGGAGAACCCUGUGUGCGCAGAGAGUGCAGGAACAAAAGAUGAAACGAGGGAAAUUCAAGCGACUUUGAAAAUAUCGGAUUUCAAAUUUCGAGUUACUAUUCACUGCACUAUUCAAAUUCAACAAACACUAUUCAAAUUCGCGGUACUAUUGAAAUUCAGCUCACUAUUCAAAAUAGGAAUAUGAAUAGUGCCCGAGCACUCACCAAGGAGUGGGUGAAGCACCUCAGGAUGGAUGGAAAUGUGGCGGCACUAUUUGCUCACUAUUGAGUACUAUUGAGCUACUAUUCGGGGUCGCUUUCAGCAGAUAUGGUACGCGCGGGUGCGUGAUUAGGUAUAUAUCUUGAUUAUAUCGAUUCUCAGGAUCUUUGCGGGUUGGCGAGACCGAAAAAUUCAGCUGGACGUGUUGCUAUGCUUGUGACAGUCCUACUCAGUACUCACCGCAUGCGUCGCUAGCUCGCUUCAAAACCAGGCCACCCGAUCUUAGACCUCAACGGUUCCCAGANNNNNNNNNNNNNNNNNNNNNNNNNNNNNNNNNNNNNNNNNNNNNNNNNNNNNNNNNNNNNNNNNNNNNNNNNNNNNNNNNNNNNNNNNNNNNNNNNNNNNNNNNNNNNNNNNNNNNNNNNNNNNNNNNNNNNNNNNNNNNNNNNNNNNNNNNNNNNNNNNNNNNNNNNNNNNNNNNNNNNNNNNNNNNNNNNNNNNNNNNNNNNNNNNNNNNNNNNNNNNNNNNNNNNNNNNNNNNNNNNNNNNNNNNNNNNNNNNNNNNNNNNNNNNNNNNNNNNNNNNNNNNNNNNNNNNNNNNNNNNNNNNNNNNNNNNNNNNNNNNNNNNNNNNNNNNNNNNNNNNNNNNNNNNNNNNNNNNNNNNNNNNNNNNNNNNNNNNNNNNNNNNNNNNNNNNNNNNNNNNNNNNNNNNNNNNNNNNNNNNNNNNNNNNNNNNNNNNNNNNNNNNNNNNNNNNNNNNNNNNNNNNNNNNNNNNNNNNNNNNNNNNNNNNNNNNNNNNNNNNNNNNNNNNNNNNNNNNNNNNNNNNNNNNNNNNNNNNNNNNNNNNNNNNNNNNNNNNNNNNNNNNNNNNNNNNNNNNNNNNNNNNNNNNNNNNNNNNNNNNNNNNNNNNNNNNNNNNNNNNNNNNNNNNNNNNNNNNNNNNNNNNNNNNNNNNNNNNNNNNNNNNNNNNNNNNNNNNNNNNNNNNNNNNNNNNNNNNNNNNNNNNNNNNNNNNNNNNNNNNNNNNNNNNNNNNNNNNNNNNNNNNNNNNNNNNNNNNNNNNNNNNNNNNNNNNNNNNNNNNNNNNNNNNNNNNNNNNNNNNNNNNNNNNNNNNNNNNNNNNNNNNNNNNNNNNNNNNNNNNNNNNNNNNNNNNNNNNNNNNNNNNNNNNNNNNNNNNNNNNNNNNNNNNNNNNNNNNNNNNNNNNNNNNNNNNNNNNNNNNNNNNNNNNNNNNNNNNNNNNNNNNNNNNNNNNNNNNNNNNNNNNNNNNNNNNNNNNNNNNNNNNNNNNNNNNNNNNNNNNNNNNNNNNNNNNNNNNNNNNNNNNNNNNNNNNNNNNNNNNNNNNNNNNNNNNNNNNNNNNNNNNNNNNNNNNNNNNNNNNNNNNNNNNNNNNNNNNNNNNNNNNNNNNNNNNNNNNNNNNNNNNNNNNNNNNNNNNNNNNNNNNNNNNNNNNNNNNNNNNNNNNNNNNNNNNNNNNNNNNNNNNNNNNNNNNNNNNNNNNNNNNNNNNNNNNNNNNNNNNNNNNNNNNNNNNNNNNNNNNNNNNNNNNNNNNNNNNNNNNNNNNNNNNNNNNNNNNNNNNNNNNNNNNNNNNNNNNNNNNNNNNNNNNNNNNNNNNNNNNNNNNNNNNNNNNNNNNNNNNNNNNNNNNNNNNNNNNNNNNNNNNNNNNNNNNNNNNNNNNNNNNNNNNNNNNNNNNNNNNNNNNNNNNNNNNNNNNNNNNNNNNNNNNNNNNNNNNNNNNNNNNNNNNNNNNNNNNNNNNNNNNNNNNNNNNNNNNNNNNNNNNNNNNNNNNNNNNNNNNNNNNNNNNNNNNNNNNNNNNNNNNNNNNNNNNNNNNNNNNNNNNNNNNNNNNNNNNNNNNNNNNNNNNNNNNNNNNNNNNNNNNNNNNNNNNNNNNNNNNNNNNNNNNNNNNNNNNNNNNNNNNNNNNNNNNNNNNNNNNNNNNNNNNNNNNNNNNNNNNNNNNNNNNNNNNNNNNNNNNNNNNNNNNNNNNNNNNNNNNNNNNNNNNNNNNNNNNNNNNNNNNNNNNNNNNNNNNNNNNNNNNNNNNNNNNNNNNNNNNNNNNNNNNNNNNNNNNNNNNNNNNNNNNNNNNNNNNNNNNNNNNNNNNNNNNNNNNNNNNNNNNNNNNNNNNNNNNNNNNNNNNNNNNNNNNNNNNNNNNNNNNNNNNNNNNNNNNNNNNNNNNNNNNNNNNNNNNNNNNNNNNNNNNNNNNNNNNNNNNNNNNNNNNNNNNNNNNNNNNNNNNNNNNNNNNNNNNNNNNNNNNNNNNNNNNNCAGGACAAUUAUUUAACGGAGUGCCGUCCAGGUGAUCCAUGUUGUACCUAGUUCUAGGAAGUAUUAUUUUCACCCCUUCUUUUGCAAUCUGUUCUACGGGAGGACUUUUUGGAUUGUUUAUUUUUAUUUUAGUGUUUUGUAAAAAUAUGUAUCUUAAUAAAAAAGUUGCAAAUCUAUAGCCAACUGAAACAGUGGAAUCCUUACUGCCAGUUGAACCAACGGAAUUUCCCUUCUCUGAGCAGUAUAUGAACUCAUAUGGAAAUAAACUUGUAUGAAAAUUGUAGAUCUCAAUGACAUCUACAACUUUAUAGCUUAAACCUUUUUAUUUGGAACCAUCCUGGUGAAAGCUCAAAUAAUCGACAUAAUGUUCAGAUCUAGAAUUCAAAUUUUAGAUAUGAACAUUGGGCAGCAUAUUUAAAAAAAUUAUAACCUUUUCAGAUGAACUCUUGGACAUAACAUUUAUAUGAAUAUUGUAGAUCUUGAUGAGAUCUACAACUUUCAUAUUAAUGUUAUGUCCUGGAGCCCUAUUGGUGCGGAGAUAAUUGAUUUAAAGAUGCUGUCUAAUGUUCAACAACUUUGUACUUCAUCACUUUCUGAUCAUGGAGGCGCUUGGUAGCUGCUAUCAUCUAGAUGGUGUAUAAUAACAAGGUUCAAGCUAUAUAUAUGAACAUGUCAUUGAGAUCUACAAUUUGNNNNNNNNNNNNNNNNNNNNNNNNNNNNNNNNNNNNNNNNNNNNNNNNNNNNNNNNNNNNNNNNNNNNNNNNNNNNNNNNNNNNNNNNNNNNNNNNNNNNUUGACGCAUGUUCAUAUCUAAAAUUCUACAACUUUGUAGUUCAAAACUUUGUUAUUUGAAACCAUCUUGGUGCUCAAAUUAUCGACGCAAUGUUCAGAUCUAAAAUUCAAAUUUUAGAUAUGAACAUUACGUUGAUUAUUUGAGCACAAUAUGGUUUCAAAUUAAAAAGUUUGAAUUAAAAAGUUGUAGAUCUCGUCAAGAUCUACAACUUUCAUAUAAAGUUUAUCUCCAUGUGAGUUCAUAUGAAAAAGUACGAUAUUUUUAAGAUGUGCUGAACUGAGAAGAGAAAUUCUGCCGGUUCAACUAGCAGUAAGGUGGGUCAAGUUAAAUUCCACCAUUUCAGUUGGCUAUAGUUGCUUAUAUGCGUAUAGAUUUGUAAUUUUUUUAUUAGGAUAUAUAUUUUGUAAAACACUAUAAAUAAAAAAAAUUCGAGCCAUUUUUUUUAGAAUAGCGGAUAGCCAACUUUUGGAACAGUGAUAACUGAGGUUGUGUGAGCCAGGGAGCUUGUUUUGUUAUUAAUAGUAAAGUUAAGACAAGUAUAGUGUUUCAGGUACUGCAUCUUUUCUGCGACACUAUGUCCGUUUUAGCAAUUUCAAACAUAUCAUACUAAUUAGUCAUUGCUUGAUGCUAGUUAUUUUCUGUUUUCUGCGAUGGAAGGGGAUGCAAACUGGUCAAUUCUACAAUGAAUAUCUGAUCAGUCUCGUUUACGUGUUUGUUAGGAUUCUGAAAGCUCACAUGCCCCAAAAGAAGAUUAAGAAUGGUCUAAUAGUUGCAAGGGAAAACAUAAUGAUGCUUGACUGAGUAAGAGACGAUAAUGAAGCAUAUGGCGCGCAACAAAAUUUUCCCACAAAGUUCUUCAGAAAACAAACCAUGCAAUUGAGAUCAAUAGCGUCGGAAGUUAAGCUGGAAAGAAACUUUGUAAAAAAAAGGAUAAAAAAGUGUCCGACCUGCCGGAUUCGAACCAGCGACCUAAGGAUUUAUCUGCGAACGACUACAGUCCUCCGCUCUACCAACUGAGCUAAGGUCGGCUUGUGAAACUUUCAAUGACUUUAUAUUAAUAACCUAGUGAACCUCUUAGCAACAGUUGAAGGUUUAUUUCCAUGGGAAAGCGACAAGAUUUCCAACCAGGACUUCCCAGUUUCUUUUAGGCCUUAAUUUCAAAGUGCUUUUCUGUUUCACGAUCGAGACCACAGUCGAUACCACCCAGCCUACUGAAGUUUCUAGUUUUAGCAGCUGCUAGCUAGCCGAGAUUGAGCCAGUAGCCUGAAGUAGCAACAAUCACGGUAGACUUUGCUCGUAAUUUAGUCGUUAUUUUUCAUCUGCGUGCUCCCUAUUUUAGGGGUGAUCGGUAGUGCUGGCUGCAGCAACCCGCUACAGCAGCUACAGCCACGCACGUUUGUUUAUCUACACCACAUCCAAUCCGUUCAUGCUGCACGUUGUGCUUUUGUUGAUGACUCUGGUCCAAGGGAUUAAGGGCAUACAACCCUAGCUAAGUUGGUGUCAUUAAUAAGGCGAUUGACCGAUUGUUGGCAAGUAUUGAUUUUGUCAUCAACACGCAAGAGAGAAACAGUUUGAAUGUUGUACACCUACGGUCGUAGGAAGAGGAACGACCACUCGAUAAUGCACCAGACAAGUGAAAAAGUCUAAACUUGGUAUGAGUCUCACACAGUACAUGUCGUGCACUUUGUCUUUCAUACUGGACCCAUCCAGUUCAUGAGGUCCACUCAUGUUGAGAGGCUGCUAUAGGUUUAUCAUUUUUUAGAUUAAGGGCCUAGGAAGGCCAGUUUUAUGUGUAAAAUCGGUGGAAAUUACAAGCUCUGAAUCUAAUGCGAUGUUGCCUGGUUGCGAAGUGAUGGACUCGUUCUUGUAUUGAAGGAUGAUGAGCGGAGCCUUUUUGCCUGGACAUGUAUUGCGCAUUUGCGCUAGAAGGCAACGGUGAUGAUGAACGGCACGAGGAGGACGACGGGAUGUCGGAGUGGCACCAAUGUCCGCGGCGGAACCAAGCUGCAUCAGCAGAGUUUUUUUUUUUGGCAUUUACCCAAACAGCGUUUUACAGGGGUAAGAAAAUUCAGUAGUAUUCUUGUGCACUAACAAAUACAACCGGAAGUUGUUUAUAUAUGUAAAAAAUCACAAAACGUCCAAACAGGGCCUAAGGAUAAAAAAAAUCCGGCCUCGACCGUUGACAUGUCCAUAGAGAAAGGGAUACAGAGACGUAGUACUUAAACUACCAGCAAAUAGUUUGAGUACUUUAGGUAGGUUUGUUUAGGAUGAUAUUUUACAGAGCAAGGGCCUCCUAUCUUCAUCAGAAAGUUUGCUAGAAAUUAAACGAAGCCCACAAACGGCCCACUAAUUCUGCCCAGACGGAGCUCGCGCGCUGGGCCUUUCUCCGCGCGCGACUAUUAAGAUAGCAAUCUAUCGCGCGUGCGAGGUAGCAGUCCUAAUUCGAUCGAUUAAAUCUUCAGCCUGCUAGAUUCGGCUUGGCCCAUCUUAUAUUUUCUCUUUUUCUCAUGUCAGCUCGGUACGUCUUGCAUUCAGUUUACCUCAGCCCGUCAGUAACAAGUUCGGCCCAUUUAAUUCUGCAGUAACCUAGAUUCAGAUGGUCUGUUUUUCUCCUUUUAGUCAGCUUAGCUCGGCCCAUCUUUUUUCCCUCUUUUUCUGCUGCUCGGCAGAAAUAAUGUUGGGAGUGGGAUUUGAACGACCUACCAGAAUGGAGGGAAGUGUACUACCAUUACACUACAAGUGGCUUGUGGUUGAAAUGAAUCACGGACUUAUUUAGACAGUAUAUUUAUAACUAUGGUUGCAGCCUAUACCUUAUUUCCAUUUCACCUUUCAUUUGUGCUACUAGAUUUUAUUUAAUGUUUUCUUUUCUUUUAAAUUUUACUUUAUUUUUUAUAUUUGUUUCUUACUUAUUUUUUUCUAUUUUAUGUAUUUUAUUGUUUUUAUUAUAUAUAUUUCCUUCAAUAUUUUUUAGUCCUUUGCAAAAUAAUUAUACAUAUUUUGUUUGCCUCUAAAAAUGAUUUGGUCAAGCGUGGAGUCAUGUUAAAUUUUAGAUUAAUUUAUUCAUGAUGUUAAAUUAUUUGUUGGUUUUAUAAACUUUUCAUUCUUUGUUUAUCUUUUAUUUCAUUUGAUUUUGAUGUUAAGUUAUAUUAAUUUGUUUGAGGUGUGAAAAUCGCUGGUGCACGAGUUCGUAUAAUUUGUUCUAGAUGUAUAUAUUUUUAUUCCUUAAGUUUGGAUAAUUUAUACUAAGUGUACAAAUAUUUAUUAUUUGAGUUUAGAUAAUUUAUGUUAGGUUUAUGCAUGGUUGUUCUAUUAGUUUAUAUAAUUUUUUCAAUAUGUAUAACUAUUUUAUCCCAUGAGUUUAUAUAGUUUGUUCCAUCUAUACAUUAUUUUGUUAUGCGAUAUUUAUAAUUUGUUCCAAUGGUAUAUAUCUUUGUUCUCUAAAUUUGUAUAUAUGUUCUUUGUGUAGACUUAUAUUGUUCCAUAAGUUCAUUAAUUUGUUGAAGUGUAGAAGUUGUUGUUCCACGAGUUUACAUAAUUUGUUCUAGAGUUAUAUAUCUUUGUUCCUUGAGUCCAUAUAAUUUGUUUGAUGCGUUUUCUUCAUUAAGUUCAUAUAUUUUUUUUGAGAAGUACAAAUAUUUCUAUGAAUUCUAUAAUUUAUUCUAGAGGUAUAAUUUUUUUCACUGAGUUCCAAUGCAUACAAAUCUUUUGUUAGGUGAGUUCACAGAAUUUGUUCCGUUUAUAUAUAAGGUUUCUGAUUAAUAGAUUGUUUUGGUUGAAACUUUUUUUAUAUAUAGAUGAUGUCAUCAAGUUUAUCCUCCGCAUGCAUGCAUAAAUUAUGUUCCCUGCUAUGAGCUAGCUAUUAGUAAUAGUCUAAAAUAUAUAUAGCCACAGUCUAUCAUAGUAGCACACCGAUACGCACGGCUAGACCAUUAGCGCAGGUAGGUUGCAAAAUUAUUUUUUCCUUCUUUCUAAAAAAUAUUUUUUUUUCUUAAUAAAAUAUAUAUAUUUAAAAAUCUGAUAAUAAGAAAUUUAAUGAUGCAAUCGGAAUUUGAAUUUGAUGGUUCAUAUAAUUUAUUUCAGGUAUACAUAUAUUUGUUCUGUGAGUUUCUAUAAUUUAUUUUAAGGGUAUACAUUUUUGUUUUGUGAGUUUGAAUACUUUGUUCGAUGCAUAUGAUUAUUUUGUUCCAUGAGUUUAUUGAAUUUGUUCUACGUGUACGUGUCAAGCAGAAAAUAUGCAACAUUGAAUAAAAAAUAUGAAUAAAAAAAUUUAUCCAAAUAUAGUUAAGUGGGAUAUUGUUGUGAAGGUUUUAUUUAAUAAACCAAUGGUGUAAUCGGAAUUUUAUAGCUUUUUUAAUUUUCAAUUGCGUUUGUCUCUCUUGCAUGCAUGCACUAGUUCUUUUUCACUUUUCAGGGACAACUACCAAAGAAGCAAUCUUAUUGAGCUGAAUUAUGAUCCAUCGUGGCCUGCUAAUCAUGGUUCCUUCAAGCGCAUGCGAUUCUAUAGGUAAUAGUGACGCGCGGUUGAAGGCAACAUUGCGAGAAUUUGUCGCCUCUGACGGCAUACAAACGGACCCAUUUUCUCCCCAGCACAUACAUGCGUCAGGAGUUCUUUCUUGCUUGUCCUAUAAAAAAAGAGUUCUUUCUUUCUUUCUUCUUUCUUUCUUCCGAGGAAAAAGCGUAUUUUUUAUCCCUUAAUUAUUUUGAAAGUGUGAUAUUCAUCCCUGGUGCAAAUCAAUCCCUUAACUAAUUAUAUCACUGCUUAGCAAUGUAACAUGCUGAGUUAAAAAUAUAAAAUCAAUAAAAAUAUUUCAGUACAUCCUCUAAAUUGACUACCCUAUACCUUUCUACCAAAAAAAUUAACAGACUGGUUACACUCAAUUGUUAUUGUGAUUGCCUCAACAUAAGACGUGGACAAGCAGUGAAUAGCAGUUAGAAAGAUGAUUACAUGACCUAAACUGCUAUUAUAUGAUACUAAACCAUUGUUAAACUAAGGUGGGGAUGAUAAAUACACCUGUUUAGUUAGUUAAGGGGUUAUGCACCAAAUGAAACAUGAGGGAUUAAUAUCACACUUUUGCAAUACUUGAGGGAUGAAAAAUACACUUUUUCCUUCUUCUAAUUAUCCUCUGUUGGGGGAAAAUAUUAACGACCUCCUUGUGUUCCUUAAACAACGGUCAUAAGGGCCAGGCCUACUACCAGCGACAGUGACCUCCGCCGACUUGGCAUGACCAGGGAAUAUUCCGCUUCACCUCGCCCGACCGCCCGAGGGCCGCUCCGCAUCCCCCGGGCGCAAGGGGUCGGACGCGCCCGACCCCUCGCCACAGGGUUCCGCCUUGCCCGACCCCGGGCGCAAGGGGUCAAACCCGCCCGACCCCUCGCCGCAAGGCUCCAUCUCGCUCGACCCCGGGACGCUGGGUCGGAUGCAUCCGGACCCACAGGACAGAGCCUCACCUCACCCAAGGACGGGCGUGGACCAGCAGACGAGGGCGCAGAUCUUGUGGGCCCCCACCGAUCUCGCCAUAAAUGCAACCGAUGGGGCGCCCAUGCCCAGAAUCCGGCUCUGACACGCAGAGAGGCGCCCGCGCUCCUCGACGUGACCGGCCAAAGCUUUCGGGCGGCGCACUGUAGCCAUGACUGCACAGGGCUACAGCUGCACCGUCCUAACUCUCCCCUGUGAUGUUCGUCAUAGGGUACUCAUCGCGCAUGCUGCCUAACAAAGGAGGGUGCGUCGCCCAGUUUCCCGCUCGGCCUGGCGGCAGGGGUGUGUUAGCCGCGCCUCCCGGUCAGCAAGCAAGGCUACAGAGGUCGCCCGUCAUUCACGACGUGCACAACUACGGCGUCCAGUCAUCAUCAUCAACUUGCAUGGCUACAGCGGUCGGUCGCCACGCACGUCUCGCAUGCUCGGCUACAAUGGCCGACCGCUGGGACGUCGAUGGGGCCCAACGACAACCAUCCCUCUUCGGUGGUCAUGCUGACAGGAGACAGAAACCAGAAGGGAAGGCGGCGACCCCGGGGGCUCGGUCCUUCUUCCUGCGCUUUUACUCCUUUGCUUACCUUUGUUACUUCCCUUUACUCCUGGCUCGAUUGUAACUCUGGUGCCCUCCUUACGCUAUAAAAGGAGGACCGGGGGCCCGAGACAGGGAUGGCUCUCAAGCGAACCGAACGCCCCCCGACACAAACCUUUCAUAUGAGCAUCAGUACACACCCACAGAGACUUGGGACCAGCUUCCCUCUCUCGCCCGUUUGUAACCCCUACUACAAACCCUGCACGAGUAACACGAGCAGCCUCCCACACUAGACGUAGGGCUAUUUCUGCCCAAACCAGUAUAAACCCUGUGUCCUCUCGUGCAACCAUCCGAGCCUUACAUGCAUAGAAAACAAAUUUACUUGCCGUAGUCUUGACCCGUGAUUCCUGACAAUGACAGUUGGCGCGCCAGGUAGGGGACCUUUGCGCGUACGACGAUUAUCACCGGCUUUGGAUGGCCAACCACGACGUCGGCUUCGCUCCCGGCUCCCACAUCCGCUUCGGGAGCCUGGACUUCCUCGCCACGGGAGAGGGAAUCAAGCUGAUUCCUCUCCUUGUCCUGCCCGCUCACCCCAUCACCUCCGGCUCCAUCGCCGGAACGGUGGUGAGCGGUCGGACGCGCACCACGGAGCUUCCUUUGGAGGGGCGGCUCUUUGUCCUAUGCAGUGCCGCGGUGACUUACGGUCGUCUCCUAGCACGAUCCAUAGUCGUGCCACCCGCGAACAACGAGUUCGCGGGCGUGAUGGAAACGGCCUCCGACGCCGGUUCCGACAAUGGGAGCCACCACCCCUCGCGUGAGUGCUUCAUGACCAACGUGCACUCUGCGGGGUCCAACGACGACGAUGGCGAGGGGAGGCAGCGCACUCCCCCACCCUGCGCCGCAGCUACAGCUGGAGCCCUUGCUAGUGUCCCAGAGCAGCCUCGGCUGCCGGAGGGGUGCGCGUGCCCAAUCAGGGGGUCGGGCGCCCCCGCAGUGAAGGCGGCGCACGUCAACAGGCAUGCGACGUCCAGUGGCACAUCUGCGAGGACGAGGACUGUCCCCAACUCUUCACACGCGCCAGCCAGAACAUCGCCACCACAGCGGUCCUACUCCAACGACUCCUCGAGCCAGCAAUGCCCGAGGAGUGAUAAGCCCACCAGGAGGUGCGCAACCUGCUUGAGUGCGCCGCAGUCCAGCAGGCGGAGAGCUCCGCGUCCUGGUGACGCGGGCACAACGCCAGCAGGGCAGCGCCCACCGCGCCUCUCAAAAGGCGUGGGGAAUCUGUCCACCAGCCUCCGCCCGGAGGGAACCGAGCCGCACCCGCUCGACGGACCCCCCCUGCAGGUGGCGGAGCCCUAUCUGCGCAUCGGUGUGUUGGUCCCGUCCGCGACACCCGUGACACCCUGGACGCGCGGAGGCGCUCCCGCGUGGCUAGGGAGGACGGAGCGGACCGCGGUUACCACGUACACCGUGGUGGCCACUACGAUAGCGAAGAAAACCGGAGCCCGAACUCCGACCCAGCGGGGCCCAGGGCCUUCUCCGCGCGCAUCCCGAACGCACCUUUCCCGGCACAUUUUAGGUAGCCCACCAACGUGGCCAAAUACUCCGGGGAGACGAACCCCGGGCUUUGGCUUAGUGACUACUGGCUUGCCUGUCAGGCCGGUGGAGCGGAUGACGACCUGUUCAUCAUCCGCAACCUCCCUCUGUUCUUAGCCGACUCAGCGCAAGCCUGGCUGGAACACAUUCCGUCGGGCGGAUCUGGAACUGGAACGACCUGAAGGAAAUCUUUGUAGAGAACUUCCAGGGUACGUACAUGCACCCCGAAAACUCCUGGGACCUCCGGAGCUGCCGCCAGGGGUCGGAUGAGUCCCUCCGAGACUACAUCCGGCGCUUCUCCAGGAAGCGCACCGAGCUCUCCAACGUCGCCGACGCCAACGUCAUCGGAGCCUUCUUGGCGGGAACCUCUUGCAGGCCCCUAGUCCACGAGCUUGGACGCAGGGGCCCACAGACCACUGAGGAGCUCCUCAACAUCGCCACCAGCUUCGCCUCGGGCGAAGAGGCCGUUGGGGUAAUCUUUGAUCACUCCAAAGGCAAGGCGAAGCGGGAGGAGGACGCCGAUGAGGGCACCUCCAACCGCAAGCAGAAGAAGAAGAACAAGCAACGGCGUGAGACUCCCCUCGUGGCUGUUGCCGAGCGCAAACGGGGACAGCCACCCCCCGAUGGCACCCCCGGCUUCUUUGACAAGUUGCUUGAGGGACCGUGCCCGAACCAUGAGUUCCCCGCCAAGCAUGCCUACAAGGAUCGCAACCUCAUGAAGAGGUACUUUGUGGGCAAUCCGGUGAAGGGCGACCGGAGACGGAAGCCUGAAGAAGAGAAGAAGGAAGUCGGAGAGAAGGAAGACGACUUCUUCAACGUGGACGGUUGCUUCAUGAUCUUCGGCGGGCCAGCAGCCUACGACUCCAGGUGCCGCCGAAAGCUAGAAUGCCGUGAGGUCUACGCGGCUGACCCCGAUACCCCUACCUUCCUCGAAUGGUCAAGGUCCGCCAUAACCUUUGACCAGUCCGACCACCCGGAGCGUGUCCCGCAGCCGAGACGCUACCCUCUCGUCGUCGACCCCAUCGUUGGCACGAAGUGCCUCACCAAGGUGCUCAUGGAUGGAGGCAGUGGCCUCAACAUCCUCUAUGCCGAGACCCUCGACACCAUGUGGAUCGACCGAUCCCGUCUCCGUCCCAGCGAGGUGCCAUUCCACGGCAUCGUGCCGGGGAAACGGGCAAUGCCCCUCGGGCAGAUCGACCUGCCCGUCACUUUCAGAACUCCUUCCAACUUCAGGAAGGAGACCCUCACUUUCGAGGUGGUGGGCUUCCGCGGAACCUACCACGCCAUCAGGGGAAGGCCAUGCUACGCCAAGUUCAUGGCCAUCCCCAACUGCACCUACCUCAAGCUCAAGCUGCCGGGGCCCAACAGGGUCAUCACCAUCGGCACGUCUUUCUAGAAGGCAUAUGAGUGUGAUAUCGAGUGCUGCAAGUAUGCCUCGGCCAUCACUUGCUCAGAGGACCAUGCAGUCCGACUUGCGGAGGGCGCCGAGGACCCGCCCGACUCCAAGCAAUCCUCCACCUCCUUCAAAGCCACGGAACGCGUGAAGGAGGUCCUUCUCGACCCCAGCGUCUCCAACGGCAGGACGGUGCGGAUAGGCGUGACCCUAUCCCCUAAAUAGGAAAGCGCGCUCGUCGACUUCCUCCGCGCAAACAGCGACGUUUUUGCGUGGAAACCCUCGGACAUGCCAGGCAUCCUGAGAGAAGUCGCUGAGCACUCCUUGAACAUCAAGGCCGGCUCCAAACCGGUGAGACAAGGCUUGCGCCACUUCGAUGAGGAGAGGCGCAAGGCCAUCGGUGAGGUGCUCCAGAAGCUUUUGGCGGUCGGAUUCAUCAAGGAAGUGCACCACCCCGAGUGGUUAGCCAAUCCUGUUCUUGUACGAAAGAAGAAUGGGAAAUGGAGAAUGUGUGUUGACUAUACGGGUCUCAACAAGGCGUGCCCAAAGGAUCCGUUUCCUUUGCCACGCAUAGAUCAGAUAGUCGACUCAACCGCAGGAUGCGAAACCCUUAGCUUCCUUGACGCGUAUUCCAGUUACCACUAAAUCGUGAUGAAAAAGUCCGACCAGCUCGCGACCUCCAUCACCACCCCUUUCGAGCCCUACUGCUACGUCACGAUGCUGUUCGGCCUCAAAAACGUGGGGGCUACAUUCCAGCGAUGUAUGCUCAAGUGUUUUGGGGACCUCAUCGGGCGAACCGUUGAGGCCUACGUGGACAACAUCGUGGUCAAGUCCAAGAAAGGUGACCAACUUAUUCCCGACCUUGAGCUGGCCUUCGAAAGGCUGAGAGAUAAGCGCAUCAAACUCAACCCCGAAAAAUGCGUUUUCAGGGUCCCUAGGGGCAUGCUGCUCGGCUUCAUCGUCUCCGUGCACGGCAUCAAAGCCAACCCGGAGAAGAUAUCGGCCAUCAUCGAUAUGGGGCCGAUCCAAAACUUGAAGGGAGUGCAGCGCGUCAUGGGAUGCCUUGCGGUCCUGAGCUGCUUCAUCUCACGCCUUGGCGAACGAGAACUCCCCCUCUACCGGCUCCUGAAGAAGACCGACCGCUUCGUGUGGACCACCGAGGCCAAGGAGGCGCUUGACCGGCUCAAGCAAAUCCUGACAAAGGCCCCAAUCCUGGUCCCACCGACGGACGGGGAGCCACUCCUGUUCUACAUUGCGGCGACCAGCCAGGUGGUUAGCGCUGCUCUGGUGGUGGAGCGAGAAGAGGAGGGACAUGCCCUCAAGGUGCAGCGCCCAGUGUACUUCAUCAGCGAGGUCUUAUCCGACUCCAAGGCCCGCUACCCCCAAAUCCAAAAGCUCAUAUACGCAGUCCUCAUCACGAAGAGAAAGCUGCGCCACUACUUCACCUCCCACCCGGUAACGGUCGUGUCAUCGUUCCCCCUUGGUGAAGUGAUCCGGAAUCAGGACGCCACAGGACGGAUCACGAAGUGGGCGCUCGAGCUUAUGGACCAGGGCAUCACCUACGCCUCCCGGAUAGCCAUCAAGUCCUAGGUAUUCGCCGACUUUGUCGCGGAAUGGACAGAGAUCCAGACGCCAUCAGCACCAGAGAAGCAAGAGUAUUGGACGAUGUACUUCGACGGGUUGCUGAUGAGAGCCCGUGCCGGAGCGAGCCUGGUUUUCGUCUCCCCCCUCGGCGUACGCAUGAGGUACAUGAUCCGUCUCCAUUUUCCCGCGUCUAACAAUGUCGCUGAGUACGAGGCUCUCCUCAAUGGGCAUUCGACGACUAGACAUCCGAGGCGACUGUCACCUAGUCGUCAAGCAAGUCAUGAAGGAGUGGAGCUGCCACGAUCCCAAGAUGGUGGCGUAUUGCAAUGAAGUCUGCCGGCUUGAGGACAAGUUCGACGGUCUGGAGCUCAACCACAUCACGAGACACUUCAACGAGUCAGCUGACGAGCUAGCAAAGGCGGCAUCCGACCGGAAGCCAGUCCUCGAUGGCGUCUUUACCAGCGACCAGUAUAAGCCCUCGAUCCGCUACGAGGAGUUGGGAGAGGUCGGCAAUGCGCCACCUGUCCUGGACUCAGGAGCUGAACCGGGAAAGGUCGGCAACGCGCCGCCUGUCCCGGACUCGGGAGCUGACCCCUACGACCCCGAGGUCAUGGAAGUUGACAUGAACCCAGCAGAGGGGCCCGACCCCCUGCCUGACUGGAGAACCCCGUACCUCGACUACCUCAUCCGCGAGUCGCUUCCGACGGACAAGACAGAGGCGCGAGGGAUUGCCCACGGCACGAAAUCCUUCGUCAUCAUCGACCAGGAGCUCUAUAAGCGGAGCCAUACCGGCAUUCUACAACGCUGCAUCCCGAUCGAGCAAGGAAAGGCGUUACUCCAUGACAUCCACGCCGGAGCUUGCGGCCACCACGCCGCACCAAGAACUCUAUUCGGGAAUGCCUUCCGACAAGGCUUCUACUGGCCGACGGCAGUUGCCGACGCCACCCGCGUGGUACGCACCUGCGAAGGGUGCCAAUUCUUCACGCGACAAACUCAUCUGCCCGCCCAGGCACUCCAGACCAUCCCUAUCAUGUGGCCCUUCGCGAUCUGGGGUCUGGACCUCAUCGGGCCCUUCAAGAAGGCGCCCGGGGGCUUCACCCACCUGCUCGUCGCCGUAGACAAGUUCUCGGAGUGGAUCGAGGCUCGACCGAUCGCGCAGAUCAAGUCCGAGGAGACAGUGCAAUUCUUCACCGACAUCAUCCAUCACUUCGGAAUCCCUAACUCCAUCAUCACGGACAACGGCACGCACUUCACCGGGAAGAAAUUCCUCAAGUUCUGCGAUGAUCACCACAUCCGAGUGGACUGGUCGGUCGUAGCGCAUCCCUGCACGAACAAACAGGUUGAGCGGGCCAACGGCAUGAUACUCUAGGGUCUCAAGCCAUGGAUCUUCGACCACCUCAACAAGUUCGGCGGCUGAUGGGUUGCGGAGCUUCCGGCAGUCCUAUUGAGCCUGAGGACAACCCCUAGUAGGGCAACCGGCUUCACCCCAUUCUUCAUGGUCUAUGGGUCCAAGGCAAUCCUCCCCACCGACCUGGAGUAUGGGUCGCCGAGGGUCAGGGCGUACGACGAACGAGGGAACCAGGCAGCCCUCGCGGACACGCAAGACCAACUCGACGAAGCGCGAGACAUGACCCUGCUGCACUCGGCCAAGUACCAGCAAGCUCUGCGACGGUAUCACGGCCGUAAGGUGUAGGGUCGGGCCUUCAAUGUCGGCGACCUAGUGCUUCGCCUCGUCCAAGAGAACAAAGGUCGGCAUAAGAUGACCCCUCUGUGGGAAGGUCCUUUCGUCAUCGCGCAAGUACUGCGGCCGGGCACAUACAAGCUAGUGACCCCCGACAUCGAACAGCUAAGACGUUUCUACCCUUAGCUAUUACUUCCAAGUUUGUACCUACAUACUUCCAUCUUCUUUUAGUUUGUGAAAAAAGGGGCUGUUUCGAGUUGCCUUCGCUAAAGUUUCAUCCCAAGCUUAGGGAUAUCCGACCCUGGCUCUGCCCCAGGGUCGAAUAUCCCUCGGGGGCUAUCAAGGGCUGCGGCCCAAGACACUUGGCGUCUUCUCAAAACACCAUCUUUUUCCAAACCGACCCUCUUCCUAAACGUUUGGGCGUGAAAAGAAAGGAGUGCGCGAACGACGCUCGGGCAAGACCGAUCAGACUGCGAGAAACCUACGCCCCAGCGGCUACAGUGCCUUCAUUCAUCGGUGCUUCCCGACGCGUUCGACCUGCACUCUGAACUUUCCAAACCCAAAAAAUAGAAAGAGGAUCGAAAACUUUUUCAAAAAAUUACACACGGACAGAAAGGCCUCUGUGGCCAUCGCAAAAACAAGUUCAAAAUUAUUUAACUUAUUUACAUAUUUUUGGGCAACUUGGCCCGCUACAGCUAACUCGUCCCCGGGUCCUCCGGCGGGAUGGCCUCAUCCUCCAGGAGACGCGCCAAGGCCUCUGUUGGAUUGAGCACCGACGCGUUGAUCUCGUCCAGCUCGGCCUCGGAGUAGCCGGAGGUGUACCCUCCGCUCAUUGCGUCGAAGUUGAUGUUGGAGUAGUGAGAGCCGAAGACGCCAAAGGCCCACCUCACGCCGAUGUGGAGCGCCUCCUGAGCGAUCUCACAGGCCCGCCGGUACGCCCCGAGGACAUGAGCCGCCAACGUGCUCGUCCCCUCCUCUUGGACCACACUAAGGUCCUCGCAGACGAUGCGAACGGCGUCCCGCAGGUUGGCGUGCUCGACGUGCUCCGCAUCGGCGGCGGCCCUCAGCCAGGCGAGCUCGCCCUCAAGGCCUGUCCAGAAAAGCCCACCAAGUCAGAAACCAGCGUGACGCUGCAAGCAAGAGGACAACAAAAGCCUUACCCUUAGAUUAGGCUCUCAGCAGACUGAAGCUCCUGCACCUGCGACUGGAGUCGACCAACCUCCGCCCUAAGGUCGGCUGCCACCUUCUCGGCCUCAGCCUUUUGGCCCACCUCGAGGUCGCGCUCCUGCCGAGCCGUGUGUCGCUCAUGCCGGAUGUUCUCGAUGGUUUUCUGAAGGGCCUCAUGCUCCUUCCUCAACCGUGCAAGCUCCUCGGCAUCACGACGGGCCUUCUCGGUAGCCGCCCAGAACUUGUCCUCCACCCUUCCCGCGCCUCCUGCUCCCACGCUCGCAGGUCGGCGGCAUUCUGCUGGGCGGCGGCGAGCUGCCCGGUUAGCUCCCCGGUCCGCCGCACCUCCGCGGCGAAGCGUUCCCAGACCCCCUGCUCGCGCUGGAGGAACUCGGACUUCCCCCAACUGCAUUUCUAGAGGACCUGCAGAAUGAUUUACGCUCAGGAAUCGUCGGGAGAAAAAAGGGAUAGAGAAAUGAAAGAAAAAUCAUCACCAAAGAGAACACCAUACCUGACCGGCGGGAACAACAACGCCAUCCAACUUCCCCAUCGUGGAAGACGGGGUGGCACGGAUGUCUUCGAGUCCGCCCUGCACCUCCUGCCAUCUUUCCUGCUCCCCAACAUCGUCCAACACGAAGCGAGGCCUCUGCGGGUCCUCACGGGACAUCCAGCGCACGGUCGGCCCUCUCCACGCGUUGGGGUCACGACCAAGCGGGACGAGGGCACACGAGGACUCUCCGACCAGCCUCGACGCCACUGCUCCAUCGUUGCCGCCAGGGCAGGUGCCACCAUCUCCGCCACCGCCGCCGUCUCUGUCGACGCCACCGGGGCAGACACCACCGUCUCUGUCAUAGCCGCCGUCUCCAUCGCCGCCACCGGGGCAGGCGCCACCGUCUCCGCCACCGCCGUCAUCUCCACUACCAUCACCGCCGCCCCUACGACCGGCACCUCGGACACUAGCGCCUCCCUCACCGGCUCCUCCUCCGCCUCGUCGUCAAGGUUGAUCACCUCGCUGGACGGAGGAACCCUAGAGGCAGCAUCUUGUUCUGCGGGGUCAGCUGCGGGUGUAGAAGAUGGGGCAAGGGUCGGCUCUUGCCCCGUGCACGACUGCGGCACCCUUUCUUCAGUCGCUGCUGUAGAGGCUGCCUCCACCGGGGGUACCGCGGCCUCGCCGACGACAUCGCCGCUCGCUCCCGACGGGGUCACGGUUGGCCCCACGGAGGCACCCGAUACCCGGAGCGCCUUCUUCGGCACCAGCGGCAGGACGAAGUCUCGAGGAGCAGCGCUGCGAGGCUCCUUUGAUGGAGUGUGCCUCUCUUUUGCUGCUUGGAGACACAUUUUUGAAAAAGAGGUUAAACUGGUCAUUCUAAGAGUCAAAGCAGCAAUGAAGGAUAAGUUCAUUCUUUGGCUGGGUAGUCUGUAACGUAGUCCUCUUUUCUUCUUUGGGUUUAAAACCAAUGUAAUUCGCCUGUACAUAAACCCCUUUUAUACAUAUAUAUAAAAAAGGUAGGGGACUCCCCUGCUGAUUCGUCUAAAAAAUUAAACAACACUUUGAGUAUUUCAGGGAGGCUUAUUCCUAUCUUCUAGUUUUCUCAUUAGGUUGAAAUCUCCCACGACCAACCAAUCCAUAUCAACUGGCAUAUUAAUAUUCUGAAACCAGUCUAUAAGCUUCCUCCUUCCCUCAUCUAUAUGAUGAGCAUAAAUAAUACUCCCUCUGUCCCAAAUUAUUAUUCGUUUUGGGUUUCUAGGUACAUAAUUUUUGCUACAUAUCCAGACAUAGCACAUAUCUAGAUGCAUAGCAAAAUCUACGUAUCUAGAAAAGCCAAAACGCAUUGUAAUUUGGGACGAAGGGAGUAUUUGUGAAGACCCCAGAGGCUCCCAAGUGAUUAGAAGUCAUUUCUGCUGAUUGGGCAUAUAUAGUUGUUUUCAAAAAGUAGUUCACCAUCCAACUUUACACCAUUCCAAAUAAUGAUUGGAACCCCAAGAAGCUCCAUUUGAUGGAUGAAAGACAAAUUUAUUUAGAUCGGGAGGGCAAAAGUUUAUGAUGAAAGUGGGUUCUUUCUUGGUUUCUUGUAGACGAACUAUAUCCCAGCUAGCCUCAACAUUUUUGUGAUGAAUUGAAUUCCACUUCUUAUUAGAAUUAAUAACAUGGAAACUCCAUAUGAAAAAGAUUUGGAGAUAGAUAUGCCAUAACCACAUAAAUAAUAUGUAGCUAAAGGAACCACAAUUAUUAGAAGGUUCAGAGCAAACUGCAUACAUCUUAGAGAGAUAUUUUAGUACUGACAAAAGUAGGGACACAUUAACCAAGGCAACAUAGAAGAGCAACAAAAUAUAAGCUUCAGUGAAGAUGACACAGCAUUUUUAUUAAGCCUCCAGACUUUAGGCUGACUGUUGAUAUGAGGCAUUAUAUUGUGGUCUUCAUUAUUGGAGUCCUGGUGAGAUAUGAUGGCUUCUUCUUCUUGAUCCAAUGAUUCUUCAUUCAUUAUGGGAAUGUUCUUAUUAGCUUUAUUACUCUUGACAUCUUUCCUCUUCACCAUGGAUGCCUCAACAUUCAUCUCUGCCACCUGAUUCCCUACAUGUGAUUCAGUGCAGAUGAAUCAUCAUCCCUUGCGGAUUUUUUUAUGUGUAGGCCAAAGCCAGUACAAAGAUCUUUAGCAAAAAAAAGUACAACCAGACACCACAAACAAGAGAAAUAUGACACGUAUACAAUUUAGAGACAAGUCAUGACACAAGCUGAAGAACUAUCAUUGAAGAACUAUCAUCGAUCGCUGAUUAGAGAUGCCACUGAAACAACAUACUCGCCAGAUACGCUAUAGCCAUUGCACAUCCACACCACCUCUUGUAGCUACGCCUCUUCGUUGUCACCCUCCAUCUGAGGACCACCUAACGAAGGGGGACUAAAGGUGGUGAGAGGCACAUAGACCAGAGCCCACCGGACACGAUGAUCUUCCUUGAAGCUAAUGGUAACAUCUUUCAAAGGACAUCCUGGAUCCACGUACCAUCAUCCAAUGCCGUACAAGGGGAGGAAGCCUCGAAGGGGAAUGGCGAAAGAGGUAGAAACACCAUGCCCGGCAUAAAAUUUGAUGGUACCACCAACAAGAAGAAUGCUGACGGAGCAGAGGCACCAAAUAGGGGACACUCGCCGAACCAUGACCUCAAGAAAUAACCAAUACCAGCCAAGUCCAAGAAGUAUACCGACAAUGGAGAGAUGCAGAAGAUAUAGGAGGCACUGAGUAGUCGACGACCUCAAUGGACCGUGCGAAGGUGAGACACCCACACUCUCCGAACGUGAAGCUUUCAUUGCAUGGUAGCCACCGCCACAUUCAUAUACUGCACCGGCGACCAUGGAGAAUGGUGUGGGAGUCGCAAAACAACACCUCCAUGGAGGGGAACGGCACCCACAAGUGUCGUCGUCACAGGUAGCGAAUCAGGCUUCCAUCGCAUGAUGAUUAAGCUUUCACCGGCGACUCACACCACUAGGCACAUGCACAUGUGGACAGCAGCCUCACCGGCCACCGCCACCAUGCGCUAGCCCAGUCCAUGCCUAGGCAAAUGUGACAAGCCACCAUGCGGUGUUAACCAUGUUCCAACACAACUGUGGCUGCACACCGCUAUCCGAUGCGGCACUCGUUGCAUAGCCGCGUCUCCACAUGGGUACGACCUGCCCCACGCUAAGGCCGAGCACCGUGGAGCAUUGAGUACGGGUGCCACGCUCGGGCAUGGCAGCUUGCACACCUGAACAGGGGCACAAGAGACCCUCGACUACCGUCACCGUAGGCACGGCAACCACGUCUCCAUCCCGUAGCCGACACACCAGAUCCAGUAGAGUAGGGACCGGAUCUAGUCCGGGAGGCCUCGGGCCUCGGCCGGCCACCAUGGCCAUGGAUGCCAUUGGAGCUCCAAGCCCAAAACAGAGAGGAAGGGAAAUUGGAGGGAGAGGAGAGGGGAGGAGAUGUGCUGCGAACUGGAGCCGGCUUCAGCACCAUCACGGGCCGCUGCCGCCACUCGAUAGGCAACGGCAGCGGCUGCCGGCGGGGGCUUUUGAGGGGCGGAGGUGGAGUCGCCCCUCCCGUCGCCCAGCCAUCCCUUGCGGAUUGCUUCUUGAUCACUUUCUUAGCAUUUCUUGUUUUUUUUUUUUUUUGCCAGAAGAGCUGCAUCAGUUACUUACUGAGGGCCCAUUUUGCAAAAAGUUGCAUCUGUUACUCGUUUAUCUUUACUUGCCUUUUUUUAUAUCUGGUCGUGCAUGCCUUCCUAGUCUUUUGGUUCUUUGAUUUAGUCAACAUGGUUUAGUCUUUUCAAUGAGUACGCAUCAGCUAUGUGCUGUCAAAUUUUAAUAAGACAAUUGUUCGUAAUAAGCACUGUUUGGAUCACGAACAGACAAGAUAAAGUUCUGAAUAAUACACAUAUACACCUACCGAUCCUCGGAUGAGUCGGAUGAGGCAAGACCAUUCGUUGUUACACCAGAAACGCUAAAGAAGCUCACGGGAUUAUUUACGGCAUGAUAUGAUCUGAGCUGAGUCAAAUAUUUCAUGUACUUUGUCUUACAUACUGGGCGUACUCAUCCUGGCAGUCAAAGAUGCGAUCAGGAGGCUGCUAUAGAUUUUCAACUUCUUGAGCUAGCUGGAUGUAUGUAUCACGUAUUCAGUGUCUUACGGAGAGAUCGUAUGCAUAUAUGUACAAUCAAAUAAUACCUGUAUGUGCAUGACGACCAUAUGCAUAUCUUCACGAAAUCGUCACUUCAUUCAACUCAAGUUAGUGACACCAAAAUUGGCAUAUAAGUCCUGAAAUUCCAGUUGAGAAUAUGGAGGUCAUCCAAACAAUGGUUUUGGAUACUUAAUUACAAAAGAUAGGAACUUAUGCUCGGCCGGCUGCCGGUUAACGUGGCCUAGUAGGAUACAUUCUAGUUUAAUUUGAUUUUCUUUUAUAUUGUUAUUGGUCUACAGGUGAGACAAUGAGAACCACAGUUAAGCUUGGUACGUCUGGUUACUGGCUGAAACUAUGCACCUUCUUUUUUUGCUGGGAAAAAUAUUUGCAGAAUUACGUACAAAGACGACUGGUUCCUAGUGCUCCGUCGGUACUUUUAUUUGUUGGUAGAUGUACACGUGAUGUCAUGUGAAUGCGAGCAGCUCAUCAGAAUCAUGCACAUCUAUAUAGUCUCAAUAUUUUUCAACACGUAAUUUACGAGUGUGGUAUACAAUUUUAGUAGUACUUAUCAUUUUUCUCGAGCGGCCAAUAGUUUUAAGUCUUUUUUUGGAAGAAAAUUAGGUGCGCACCGGAUGCAAACCGCAUCCGGUGCAUACCCGUGUGCUCGCGUGACGUGUGGAGGGGGAAGCAAAUCCGACGGAUUUAAUCGCUGGCUGUCGCGGCUCGGCUUGCUCGCUCGGGAACCGCGUGCUCAGUCGCUCGGGAUAACGGCACCAGCGGCUCGCUCGCUUCGGGAACACUACUCCAGUCCCAGCUCAGCCCACUCCUCGCUGCUCCCUCACUUCAUCCCUCUCUGUCGUGGCGUUCUCCGACGAGACGACGGCGGCGACGUAGACGGGUGCAUCCUGGUUCGGCAGGUAUUCAUCUACUUCCACUCUUCCACUAAUAAAUAGCGCGAUUCCUGAAAUCCAUUUCGUUACAGUGUAAUCACUGGCAUUCGUUUUCUUCCUUUCUUUGAAAUCUGCAGGAGAGAAGGCGGCACCAUUCCAAGCUCGGAGGCCGUCACCCGCAGAUUUAAGCAAGCCCCAUCCCUGGAAGCUCCUUCCUUUCCUCCCAAUCGCCUGCACGCAGCAGUUCUCGGAAACAUCUGGGCCGCCUCUUGAAAUUCGACGGCCGGAAAAAGUGAGAAACCAGCGAGCGAGCACGCAGUUCCGAGCGAGCGAGCCGAGUCGUGACAGCCAGCGAUUAAAUCUGUCGGAUUUGCUUCCCAUCCACGCGUCACGCGAUCGCACGGGUAUGCACCGGAUGCGGUUUGCAUCCGGUGCGCACCUAAUUUUCUUCCCUUUUUUUUUGUCUUUCCUAACUGUCUCGACAAAUUGGCAACAAGAUUAAUUGAAUAAAUAUAUUACAAACAGUUACGAUAGGCAACAAGAUUAAUUGAAUAAACAUAUUACAAACAGUUACGAUAGAUAACCAACAUAAUACUACAAGCUGUUGGUCACUUCAGAACAGAAACUGUUAGGAAAGAUCGUCGCUCGAUCUUGUAGUGGGCCUAAUACAAGAAGUCAAGAACCCAAUAAAAUAACUCUGUCCACAUGGAAGACCGGCCGAGAUGUUCACGAGGACGAAGCACAACGUUGUUUAAAGAUGUACUCCCACGGUUCUUUUUUACAUGUCACAUUAAGUUUGUCUUAAGUCAAAUUUGUUCAAUUUUGACAAAAUUUAUAAAAAAAUAUAACAACAUCUACAACAUCAAAUUUGUUUUCGUUGAAUUCACCAUAGAAUAUAUUUUGAUAAUGAAUAUAUUUGGUACUAUAGAUGUUACUAUAUUUUCUUAUAAAUUUGGUCAAAUUAUAACUUUAACUUAAGACAAACAUGUAAAAAAAAUGGAGGGAGUAUAAUUGUAGUAUAUACAUCUCUCUCACUCUCGUCGUGAUCUCUCUAUAUGAUCAAUCGGCAAUCACGUGAUGUAUGCAAAUCUCUGCAUCCAGCAGACCGUCCAAACAGGAAGCUGCCACGACCUGCACGAACGGCCUCGCUUCCAUGUCUGCAUACAGCUCAAUUUGUACCAAUCUGAACGGAAUGCAUACCUGCUCGUUGCCGUUGCCGUCUCCAUCACAGUACACUCCGUUUUGUAAAACUGCAUUUCAUCGAUCGGUCCGUCCUGCCACAGCUCAGCUCGCUGACAAUGGCGACGAUCAUCAAUAGCCACCCGUGCAAAACGCGUAACACGGCCCCACCUCGUUUGUUUCGUCUGACCGAUCCUCUAGCCGCCGGGCCAACGGCUACAUAAAUACAGGCCAUCGCCACAGCCCACAGCAGCUUGCUAGCUCUCGGUCGCCGGCUACACGAGACGAUCAAUAGGCUGCCAUGAGCACCAGCACCAUGCCCAAGGCGAGAUGCGCGAUGAAGACCAAUACACAUGGCCCGAGGAGCCACUGCAAGGUAAAGGCCGUGGCGGCGUCGGCGAGAGAUACCAUCUGCUCGAAGGGCAGCAAGAAGGACUACUACAAGGUGCUGUCGCUGGAGCACCCGGCGGCCGUGGGCGCGGAGGAGAUCAAGCGCGCGUACCGGCGGCUGGCGCUGUGUUACCACCCCGACGUGUGCCCGCCGUCGCGGCGCGCCCAGUCCACGGAGCUCUUCGUCGAGCUGCGGCGAGCGUACGAGACGCUCUCCGACCCGGCGCAGAGGGUACGGUACGACGCGGAGAUGAGAGCGACCGGGGAGGACGGUGCGGCAGCGAGGCCUGGUGGUGGUGUUGAGUUUCCGAGGGACGUGUGGGAGGCGCAGCUGUGCGAGCUGCGGGCGCGCUCCGAGCAGCGGCAGAGGGCGAGGCGCGGUGGCGUCCCGAUCCGCCGUCAGCCGGUCUGAUUAAGCGAUCCGGACACACGCAUGGAGAGUUACUGGGGAGUUUAGAUUUUAUUCUUUGACCGUGGGGCUCAUUGCAUCUGGUUUUACUGGGGUGUAAGUUUAUUUGAGCAGUGUAAAGUGAUAGAUCUGUAUGUAGUAAUUCAUUUUCUUUUGGGAAAUUUGCUUGCACCGCUAGGGAAGGCGCCUUUAGUACCGGAUCCUAACCCCUUUAGUACCGAUUGUAUAACCGGUAUUGUUACUUCGAUACUAAAGGGGGGCCUGUGUCAAAUAACCGAUGCUAAAGGGGGUCUUUAGUACCGUGUCAAAUAACCGAUGCUAAAGGGGGGCAUUUAGUACCUUUAUACCAACCGGUACUGAAUUGGCUGCCACGUCGCGUGUGACCGAAGGCAAUUUAGUACCAGUUUCUUUUCUCAUUUUCUUUUCUAUUUAUUUAUUCUAUAUUAGUAUUUCGUAUUUGUUUUCUUUACGUAUACUAGUUUUAAUAUUACAUUUAAUCUAAUAUUAUAUAUAUAGACAUCUCCUGCCUUCGUAUUUAUGAAUAAUAUUACAUUGCAUCAACACUUGAAGUUCAACAUUUGGAUCAACUAUUCUGAACCCGAGUCCUGAUGGUGAUGCAGAUUUGAUCCGUCAUUAUGGAACUCCCCUGCUGGAUUUACUACCUUGUCUAGAAGAAAUCCACUGAGUUGUUAUUGAAUUGCCCUGAUUUUUUCCGUCUCGAGGAGUGCUUCCUUCGUGUCUCUCGUCUGUGUCAUUAGCAAAGAUUAUUACAACCGGUACUGAAUUGGUUGCCACAUCGCGCGUGACCGAGGGCAAUUUAGUACCAGAUUCUUUUCUCAUUUUCUUUUCUAUUUAUUUAUUCUAUAUUAGUAUUUCAUAUUUAUUUUCUUUACGUAUACUAGUUCUAAUAUUACAUUUAAUCUAAUAUUAUAUAUAUAUAGACAUCUCCUGCCUUCGUAUUUAUAAAUAAUAUUACAUUGCAUCAACACUUGAAGUUCAACAUUUGGAUCAACUAUUCUAAACCCGAGUCCUGACGGUGAUGCAGAUUUGAUCCGUCAUUAUGGAACUCCCCCGUUGAAUUUACUACCUCGUCUAGAAGAAAUCCACUGAGUUGUUCUUGAAUUGCCCUGAUUUUUUCCAUCUCGAGGAGUGCUUCCUUCAUGUCUCUCAUCUGUGUCAUUGGCAAAAGUUAUUAUAUAGUAGAUCAACGGAUCUGCACCAUUAGAACUAAUUUAUUGUUAAGAAAUUUGUAUAUGUACUCUGAAUUUGUGGUCGGUUAUACGCUUGGGAGCUACAAAGCUAUGGAUGAACUCACAUACGUAGUAUCCGUAUAAAUUAUUCCCCAGAUUCUAUCUCAAACACUAUAUAUAUGGUAAAAGAAGUUAUGAAAUAUUAGUUGUGUUCAAGGAAGUGUCAUGAGAUGUGGAAAUUCAACACAUACCGGGAAUUCAGGUUUGAAAUCAAGUUCCUCCUUGAAUUCACUUACGUGAUGUCGACGGAAGCGAGCCCAUACUUUGUUAAAUAUGUCUAUGAGAUUUUUGUACUGAUCUCUUCAUUUCCUCAAAGAGUCCAUGAUGUAGACCGCGCUUCAAUCAACCACGAUAACAAGGAGUAUCCAAUGGAAGAUGUAUAUAUAUGCAUAGCCAAAGUUAGUUAGUCUUAUGUUUAACUGCUAGUUCGAAAAAAAAGAGAUAGGAAACACGCCCACUUUAUGUUGUAGGGUAGAAGUAUGUACUUCCUGUAAUGUUAGUUGUCUAGGAACUUAUAUAUGUUCUUCAAGGUCCGAUUUGGUCUAUCUCUUAUAGUUGACUCGUUUAUAAUAUCUGGGUUCAUGAAGCCGAUGUUGUAGUAUCCUUUCCUCCAGCAAGUUUGAAUCUCCAUGCAGAUUGAAUCUCCAUCCUGCAUGAUACAAAAUCGAAUAGGAGUUAAGACAUCGCACAAUGACUAGAGUGGAAUUUUGAAGUUAGAGCAAAUUAAAGACGUAUAGAACCCAGAAACUGAUGAGUGACUUGUCAAGUCCGUUUUGAUUGUAAAGGAAAUAGAGUUCCUCUAGCAGCACAUUUAUAAUGUCUUCCCCACGGAAAUAAUGUUGAUCUCCAAUCCAAACUUCGAGCAUGAGUAAACCGUUAGCUGAAGCCUCCAUGUACCAUUGGUGAAAUUUGUAUGUCUUUGUUGGAAGACGAUCCACCAACUGCGGCCACACAAGCGGUUUUCCUAACUCAAAUUUCCAUUUAGUAGCCCCAGGGUGCAAUGGGACAUGAUCCUCCCCUCGAAGUUGAGCUGGGGUGAGAUUUGUAUCUUUGGCAAAUAGAAGCAGGUUCUUAUCAAACUCCGAAAGCACCUGGAGCAGGGCAAUCGAUUGGUUGGAUUGGGUUCCGAGCUGCGGAAUACUUGACCCACUUUUAUUCUUCUUCUAAAAAGCUUUUGUUAUUGAGCGGUCGUAGUUAGAUAGCAGUGGUUUCUCUACCUUUUUCUCCAUGCUUCCAAUGAAGCCUGAAAUUUAACCUUAUCAAGUGGUGGAUCUUUCUUCACGGGAGGUUUUGGUGAGAAGUGAGCUUUAACCUCAGCAUCCACUACUGCGUCGAUUUUCACAUCAGUCAUCUCAUGAGUUUUCUUGGGCUCUGGUUGCUUCUCCUUCGGCUUCUUCUGCUUCUUCUGCUUCUUCUUUUUAGCUGUAGUAGGCUGAACUGAAGGCGUUUUUCGCCGUGUAGCCUUUCUCAUAACAGGGGGUGGUGGACUUAUGCUAGGAUCUCUAUCAGCUGGUUGAGAGCGUGGACUCAUGCUAGGAUCCCUGUCAGUUGGUGGACUCAUGCUAGGAUCCCUGUCUGGUAGUGGAGAGGGUGCCCUGGCAGAUGGCGUAGGUGAUCUUGCCCUUGAGCCUUGAGGAGAUGAUCCCAAGGUCGAGGGAUUCGGCUGUGUAAUCCUUAUGUAGCGCUUGGGCCAUAGAAUCCAACCAUGGAUGGAUUUUCCUAGAUUCUUUUCCCCGUCACCUCCAGGGAUCUUCAGUUUUAGGUCAUCCCAACCGUCGACCACUCAGUCCACCCCAACUUUAGCGUAACAACGAGCUAGAAUCUCCACGCGAUGAAUUCUAAAAAUGACUAAUUACGUACAUCUAUUUCAUCUUAUUAUCUCUAUGUACCACAAUUUAUCUCGCUCAUAUUUGCAAAUGACUAAAAUAUGAACAAAUUAUAUUUUUUUCAUAAUUUAUUUAGCUCAUAUUUGUAAAGGACUAAACUAUGAAAUUAUUCCUCUAAUCUCAUAUCAAUUUCUUUGACUAAUACGAAUCAUGGCAUCCAAAAAAUUGUAGCUUAUUCUAAAAAUCACAAAUUACUCUAGCUCUAAAGCAUAAAACUUAGUAUAUUAACCAUGUAUCAAGGGAGGAUGAAGUUUCUAACCUUUAAAACACUUGAAUGAGUGAAAUCCCUACGAAAUGGUCAAAAAUCCAGCAGCACCUCCCCUAUUUUGCCAUGAACGGAUGAAGCCCGAGCUAGAGGAAAUGGCUCGGGUAGGAGGAAGAAGACACCUGAGUUAUAGGAGGGAAGUUAGUACUGGUUGGGGGCUCCAACCAGUACUAUGCCCCCAACCGGUACUAAAAGUCACCCAUUAGCACCGAGUGGAGCCUCCACCUGAUACUAAAGGCCCUCAGGGCUCCACCCGGUACUAAUGUGUGACCUUUAGUACCGGUUGGAGCUCCCAACUGGUACUAAAGGGGGUCACGGGGGGCUCCUAGGGAACUAGCCAUUAGACCCGAUACUAAUACUCACAUUAGUACCGGGUCAAACACCAACCGGUACUAAGGGUUAGGACCAAUGCUCAGUUUUCUAGUAGUGAGGAAACAAUACUAUAAUUUGUGUAUGAAACUAAGCAAACACCAAUUGUACAAACAACUGAUAUAAUUUAUCUUCAUGAAGUAGUGAUUACUUUGUUUCUUUGGAGAACUGUAGCAUGAUAAUCCAUUUGAGAAAAUCUUGUAAUGUUUUGAGUUUUUGACCUUUUGGUUGCAAGUGUUUACUUAAUAAUAGUAUAAUGGAUGGGAGAUUGAUUAUUGCAGGAUGCCCUCUUAGUUACUGGGGCCAUUUCACUAUACUAUUUGUUCACAGCAUCAGAAGAAUACGUCUCAUACUGACUCAAAAUAUGAAGAGUGUAGUUAUGGAAAAUGAUAGGAAAGGGCAGUCUCAUUUUCCACUUAGACUAAACAAACAAGAUUUUUAGACUCUUGCUUCUAAACUUCACCCAUCAGUCAAUUACCCAACUAAAUAUACUUGAUGAGGACAUCGCCAUGCUGGACACACACGAGUCAUGGUCUUCCCCAAGUUACAAGUCGUCACCAACUCGUCGCGUUCGUUUCGGAUUCAGCCGACACCCUUGCACGGUUUCGGCCAUAUCUCUCUCAUACGACAUCAAAACGAGGCAUCUUUGAUGCGUUGGAACGGGGAUGAUGACGCUGUUCUUUUGGUUCUGGUUCUAGCUCCAGAAGGUUCGUGGAUCAUUCUGUGUGACCACGAUAAGGUGCUGUAUCACCAGUUUUGGGUCAACUUAGCCUUGUAUCGUGUCGGGCCUUAAGCCCAAGUUGUGGGCGCCCCCUCCUUGGUCGCCCCCAACCCUAGUUCGCCCCUUUUGAUAUAAACUCAUUAGCCACCACCUUAGAAACUCGGGUUUUGUUUAGUUCUAGUUUUCCUUUGAGAAACUGAGAUUGAUUUGUUGUAACUAUGGUAAUAAGUUCUUUUACAGUGAUCCACGACCCCUAUUCUUGUUCUCCUCGACUGUGUCGAUUAAAACCUUUCAAAUUGAGAGCUUGAACCCUUCUUACUACAUUCAUAUUUGCAAUAUCAGAUUGCGUGUUUAUACUUUCUUGCUUGUGUCCUUCGAUUCGCAUGCAAGGAAAGCCUUCUUGGCGAAGUCAAUCAAGUUGUGCUUGGUUGAUAACCAACGGAGCAGUGGUGUAGCGGUUGCAGGGAUUCGAAUCAUGUCUGAUUAAAAGCCCGAAUCGUCAACGUCGAGUCUCCACCAAUCGAAUUUAUCACUACCUUUCGAAAGAUCGGGCCAGUGCUACAUCAGCACUAAUAAUAUGUCUUGGUGGAAGAUAAAUAGUUGUACUAUGUUAUUUAAUCGUGGUAUGGAUAAUCAUUUUAAAUUGAUAAUUUUGAUGAUACUUAUGCUUUCUUUUUUUAGUACGUGGACGUAUGAUAUUUAAACUAAAUUCAUUAUCACAAAUUCACAAUCUCUUUAACAUAUGGUGGCAGGUAUCCCCACCCCAGCCCUGCCAUGGUGAAAAAAGUUCAAAAAGGAGAAGGCAUAAAUUCUUCGAAUACACGGUGGCAAAGGACGUAAUGUAUGGCAAAGACAAGAAGGAGAGAAGAUCUAUUCUAGGGUGAUCUUGCAAGUGUUUGUUUAGCAAGCUAAGUAUGCUACUAUAGAAUCGGAAUUCUAACAUGAUUAAGGCCCUGCAAAAGUGUUCCACUUAGGACUAGAGCUCCUAUAUUAUUAGCUCGGGUUGCACGUCUUUUGCAUUACGUAUUGCAAACAGUAAUUCCCAUUAUAUUUUCAUCAUUGUACUUAUCUGUAUGUAUGCACGUACUCGUUUAGUUUAUAUUGUCUCUUUUCUCGCUCAUCAAGUCUUACCGUCUUAGUUAAUCUUUCUGCUCAGUUGAUUUGGUUUUCAUUAGGUCUUACCAUAUUAUUAUUUGUCUUUUGGCUUCUUUGAUUUAGUCAAUAACAUGCAAUUUUAACUAUGCAGCAUAAAAUUAUCUUGAGCCACUUAAAAUAAACUUUUAGACGCGUUCGGAUCCAUUUGUUCAUCAAUAAAUACAAACAACCUAAAUGUGAACGAAAGGGUAAUUUACAUGUACCGAUCAUCAGAAGCCAUUCGUGUGUUAGAAAUGAUGAAACACACAACGCCCAUUUGAAUAAUGAAACUGCCCCUUAGAUGGAUACGUUGUAUAGAUACCAUCCGAUGCACCAGAAGUGUCAAAAGAAACACGUGAACGUAGAAUUGGGAAGCUACUGUGGGUUUGUAAUAUAUCAUCUUCUUUGUCUUACAUGAUUGGACUCAUUCAAGACGAAGAAUUCAGGAUAUCUAGCAGCAGAUAUUUAAACUUGAAGAUCAUGUAAACUAAUCGGUGGUGACUGAAGAUUGCCGGCCUUUAAUUUCAUACUUGGAUGCAACCACCGAAUAUUUUAUAUGGUACGUUUUCCCUAAUCACACUAGAGUGAUAUGCUUUAUAAGUGAUUUUUGGAUUAUUUUAGUUUUGUGAAAUUUUUGUACAAUUUCCUCGAUCACUAUGUUUAUGUGUUCUAUUGAUGUUGAUGUUUAAUAUGAUCUGUUCAAUUGACGUAUGGGUUCAGUAUUGUUCAGUUGAUUUUAAACUGCUUUGUCCUGUUGAUGUGGGUGUUUAAUUCUAUUUAGGUUGCUCUGUUCAGUUGAUGUUUGUGUUCAAUUCUGUUCAGUUGAUGUUUAAUCUAUCCUGUUCUAUUGAUGUGUUAUCUUUUCAGUUGAUGAUGAGAGUAAUCUGUUGUUGUUAGGAACAUCUAGCACGCACACAUGCAUAUUUCUUUGAAUAUGUAUCUGUUGUUUGUGCAAUUCGUUCGUAACAAUGCGAUACUACUCAUAGAUUUGAUGGAUAUUAGAACCGACAAUCAAUUUUUUUACGGCUAAUGAUAGUAUUCUAACCGGCGCUAAUCCACACCGGUAGUUAUAGGUUAACAAAUGUUGCGGUCUAAUUAGACCGCUAGGACUAGUAUCCCCGUACGCAUCGGCACUUAACAAACACCGGUAGAUUAUACUCAAUCGUACCGGUGCUCAACGAAAGCUGAUUAGAAUAAUAACAUAUUCUAACAGAUUGAGAAAUGCACCGGCACAUUUAGCAAAUUAUUCGUGUCAGUCCUGACGCUAGUAUGAAUAACAUACCCUCAUUUGUACGCGCACCGUGGUAGCAGGCCCAUCACCGACAUGAAUUAGCUUUUCGCACUGGUACGUACAAGGGUCGCUGCAGUAGUGUUAAGUUCCACAAUCUAUAUCCUUAUCCGCAUCAUGCAUGCUCACUCUGAUCUCCAAGAGCAUAUAGCAGCGCAUCUAAAUGUUUUUGGAGAAGAAAUUUUUUUUUGGAGAAGAUUGGUGAGAAUAUGGGAAGAAUGCAGCCUGAAGAUAAGGGAGUGGAGAGGAAAAUUCAUUUUUUUGCAAAGGAUUAUGAUUUGUUUGUGAAUCCGAUAAGAAACAAUAAUAGGACAAAAUAUUACCAACAUCAUAAAAAGCAUCUAAAAUUCAUCAAAUUUGAGAUGACUUUUUAUAAAAAGCAACAGUGACAUGGAUAUAGAGAAAUAUUUUGCUUUGUAAUUAGUCAAUGCAGAUGGAUUUUGUGUGUGUGUGGGGGGGGGGGGCAUAUCAUGUCCGUUCCCAUUUCUAGUAAAAUUUAUGAAUGCUUGCAAAAUUUUUAGGUACAAUGAAAAUUCAGUCUACACAUUUAUGACAUUUUUACCUAUACUUCACUUAAGAUGUCAGAAUGGUAUAGAUUUCAUUAAUACUAGUCCUAAAAUGUUUACAAUUAUUUAUAAUUAGAAUUAGAGAUGAAGGUGGACAUGUAUACACCUCCAUCAAAUUUUGUCAACAAACUAAUGUAUAAUGUCCAAAAAGGCAAAUUAAUGUAUGUUACGAGUUACCGACGGGUUUGGAAAACUAUCUGCAAUGACUGUAUUACAAAUGGAUAUUGUUCAGAAAAAUAUCUACGAUGACUACAUAUAUCUUAUACGGCUUUUAUAAAUAAACUAUCUGUGAUGUAUAACAAACGUUGUUUUAAAGUACUAUUUGCAAUCAUGGAUCACCACUAGUAGAAUUUUUCACCACGGGGAUAACUGACUGCAAUAUGCAUAUUCAAGAACUGUUUGUAAUAUCCUGUUGGUAUGGAUAUCUUCUUAUGGUAGUCCCAGUGUUAUAAUACCUAGCUUAAAUUUGAUAUGCCAUCAGAUCACACAAGAACAACAGAAAGCUUUAACAGAUGGAAACAAUGGGCUGCAGGCCAGUUGGUUUCUUCAACUAACCCCGCUAACCCCGCAUACGACAAGAAGGACCUUUUGGUGAGGAGGAUCAGGAGCAACACUAUUGUUUCUUCAUUCUCUGCAGCUGCUAACUACAUUCCUCUGCGCUUCACUACCAUAUCACCAGGAGUAUAUGAGCAGGUAUGACAAAUAAUCAAUACUCACUUCUUUUCUUUUCUUUUCUUUUUCAUCAAAUGCCUAUCGGUUAUGCUUUUUCUAAAACAUCUUCAAAUGCAUACCUUGACAACAGAUUUAUCUUAUUGUAUAAUAUAUGUACACAGUGUCUACAAAGUUAAUAUCAUAUGAAAAGAUUUUUCUGUAUAGAUUUAUUGAUACAAUUAAAUACAAUAAACGACUAUUUAUAUGACUUAACUUCUAAAUUUAUACAGCCAAAAUUUCAUGUGUAGUGCCGACUAUAAAAAAUAUCGAGGGGCAAAAAUCAACGGUUUGCAAGGAUUCAUCAAGCGGAUUGGCUUGGUAAAUUAUUCGAUGCUGCUGUCCUUGAAAUUUGCAUAUAUAUAGUUGUCUGCGACAUUAUCUGUUUUACGACAUGUUAUAAACAGACAACGUUUCUCCCAGCAACGCUUUUCGGCCAAGGUUUAUUGUAUCAGACUGCAAAAUAAAAACAUUCCACAAUAGUAAAAUAGCAGACGUGUUUUAGUCGACCAUUAUUUGCAAUGUCCGUCCCCUUGGUGUUGACUCUUUGUUGUCGUUCCUGGAAAAUAAAAGAACCAUCAAUCAAUCGGCCAUCACACUAAACUCUGGCACACCUCCAAACAAGCGGAUGAAGCUGCCACCACCCGUGCGCGUGCUUGUUUUAAAAUUUGUCCACUGCUCAAUUUGGACGAAUUCCAAAUGGCACACCUGCACCGUACCUUUGGUCGUUCUGCACAGAAAAAUUUAGCCCAAAACCGAUGCGUGAAUCCUUGCCGUCUUCAUCACCCACCCCACACAAUCCACCAGCAAAACUCCAUUUCACCGGUCCACCUCCACCUCCGUACGCGCACCCCGCAACAGCUCGUCGAGGACGGCGACACCCACACAGCCACCCGCGCAAAACCGCGUACCACCAGCCCCGCCUCAUUUGUCUCGUCCUUGAGUCACCUGGCCCGCUAUAUAUAGAGACGCCAUCGCCAUCUCCACCGUGCAACAUGCUAGUUCUCAGUCACCUGCAAACAAGAUUUUGGUUGUUCGAUAAAUUGAUCAGCAAGCUAACCAUGAGCACCAGCACCAUCCCCAUGGCGAGAUGCACGGCCAGAGCUAAUAACACAGCUAGGAUUUUGGGCUGGAGGAGCCACUGCAAGGUAAAGGCCGUGGCGGAGACAGAGUGGGGUAGUGUCAGCUCGGGAAACAAGAGCGACUACUACAAGGUGCUGUCGCUGGAGCACUCAGCGGCCGUGGGCACGGAGGAGAUCAAGCGCGCCUUCCGGAGGCUGGCGCUGCGUUACCACCCGGACCUUUGCCCUCCUUCUCGGCGAGCCGAAUCCACGGAGGUCUUCAUCCAGCUGCGGCGCGCCUACGAGACGCUCUCCGACCCGGCGCGGAGGGUGGUUUACGACGCGGAGCUGAGGACGGGCGAGGAAGCGACGACGGCUGCGGCUGGGUUCGCCAGGGACGUGUGGGAGGCGCAGCUGUGCAUGCUGCGAGUGCGCUCCGAGCGUCGCCAGAGGGCGAGAAGCGGCUGCCGGUGCGACUAGGGGCACGAGGCAUUAUGACAUGAUGACUUUACUGAAGUGUUUCUACUCUUUAACUCUAUGUUAGGAUCAUGCCGUCUGGGUUUUAGAAGAGCGAGUGAUAUAAUUUUUUUGUAACAGUUGGAGAGUCUGUCUGAGUUUCAAGUAAGUACUAAGAGUAAGAGAGGUUGGAUAGCGUUUGAACUUCUAACUUUCAGGUAUCGUAUUGAUUAAGAUUAUUUGAGCUCCUAUACCCAGACUAUUCUUCUUCCAUAUUUGCAGUACACACCAACACCAUUGGAUGAGAGCUUACCGAAAAUUAGACCCUUUACAGUUUACAGGUGGAUCGACGGAACGAAAUUACUGACGAGGACACUAGGCAUUGUGGCAUUUCCUCUCAUGAUUAAUUACUUUCAGAGUGAAAUAAUUUUUUUUUCAAUUGUUGACUACAAAUCUCAUUUAUUAGCAUCUUUCGAUCUAGAGAUACUUUUCUUGAAAUUUGAACUUUUAGUUGAAUAAUGCUCUUCGUUCUGAAUCAAAAGUCUUUAUAUAUGUUGUUAACAUUAUUGGAAAGUGGAAAAAUGUAAGUGAUGUAAUAGAAUGGGAUGAUCUCAUUGAUGUUUACAUAUUUAUGCAAGCCUAAGGGGCAUGAGGGUGACAGUUCAGAAGGGGCAUGACCCCUUCACGAAGUGGCCCUCUGCUAAUAACGUCACUAAUCUAUGUGAUAAUCACAUAUUUAAUUAAUUACAUAAUUAAGGUAAUUGAUCACUAGAAUUAGUGAUUCACAACAAACAUGAAACCUUUCGGUGUUGAGGGGAGAUUAUUGUUAAUCCCUUUAGUUAGAAUCUUCUGAUCUUGAGUGAAAGUUCUUGAAUUGCCUGACCGUUAGGGAGGGGGUUUGUGCUACAAUCUCAUAGAAGAUACCAGUACAAGAAGUUCAGAAAUAAAUUUUGGAUUCACAGUUAAUUAAAAUUGCUUAUCUUUGCUCACUAUUUGUUCAUUUUAUAACAUAAAUACAUAAUAUUCAUACAGAUACUCUGUAAUCUCUAUAUAUAUGGCUGGGCUACACAUCGGUUAUUCUGAAUUACAUACUUGUUUCGAAUAUGUGUACCGUGUUCUUUGUCUCACAUAUUGGAUUCAUGCAUCCAAGUCGUCAAAGCCUUCUAUUUUGAGGCUGCUACCAUACAUAUUUUACUGUAGCUCUCCGUGACCUAUGAUGAUUGCCGGCCUUCCUUUACUUGGAAUGCAGCCCCAUUCUUAGGACGUUGUUUGGUCGCUCGGAUGUCGACUUCCUGCACCUGCCCGUGCGUAUAAUCGCGGAGAGUACCGUGUUUGGCAGCUUGAAUAUACUGUGCAGUCUUGGCCUAGUGGAUGCAGACAUAUGGUGAGAUCCUGCACCCGCAGAAACGUUCAGAUCGAGCAUAGCUCCUAGGUCAGGCCUGAUGGACGAUGGCCCACACAUCAAGCGCAGCUGUGAGGUAGUAAGCCCUGCCAUCUGAACCGUACACUACUGCAGAAAUCAUUUUUCGUGUCACUAGUGCAGAAUUGAUUCAUCAUAGAGAACACACGCGAGAGGCUUCUGGCAACCCCAGGUGGAUUUUGUUGUUUCCUUUUAUUAGGAUCGUUGCUAUUGCUACGGGCAACAAAAUAUUUAUAUCGCAACAUACGGAACAUUCAAUAAGACAGUAACAAUAUGAAAAUAAGUACAAAUAUUAAAAAAAGUGCACAUAUUACUACAGUCGAAACAAAUUAUCUCCAUAAGAAUUAAUUUUCAUAUGGACAAUUAUGCAGAAAUCAUUGUAUAUACCUCUGGAUUAACCACCCCUGGAGAUGCCACGGAUGUCCCCUGGGUCAACCUGAAACUAAUUAGUAACAAAAAUAUCUCAGAAAUUAUCCUUUCUUCUAGUAUUAACCUAUCGCAACCAUCCAUUUUCAAGCUCAAGUAUUCAAUCCAGGAAAUGUGCUCAGUCCUCCUACACAUAAACAGAACAUGAGUUGUAGAUGUUUUCUUUUUGUUGAGUUGUGUUUUCAACUGACAAGUAGCUUCCAAGUAGGCAUCUUAUAACUGUCAAUUUAUAUCUUCGUAAGAAUGCAAUGAAACAACAGUACGUAUCCUCAGUAGGAAAGUUAGUGGCAUCUAAAAUAGCAACAAUAUAUUCACAGUCUCGAACUGAAGGCGGAAAAUUUGUAACACCCUAAUUUUCAACUUUUGCAAUUAAUAAAAUUUGCUAGAAUUUUCUAGAAUUUAAUUACUUUUGUUUAAGGAUUUAAGGAUUUUCUAAGGUUUAUUUAAUUUUUUAGGCAUUUAAAUCUUUUCAAAAACAAGUUAAUGAAUCAUAGGAGUUCAUUGUUGCAUUCAUGCUGGUGCAUUGAUUUUGGUUGUUUGAAUUUGAAUUCAUGUUUGAAUCCUUUUGAACAAUAGGAAAGCUUUUCUUUUUCUUUCUCUUUUCUUCUUCUUCUUUUGGCUCGAUCUUUCUUUUCGGCCCAGCCCGCAACAGCACCCCGCAAGAUAGGCUAGCCCAGCUCGGCCCAGCUCCCACGCCAUCUCCGCAGCCCAGCCGCACCACGUCCGUCCCUCCCGCUUACGCCUGGACCCCACAUGUCAUCCCCCUCCUCUUGCUCUCGCCCGCGCCCGAGCCGGACUCGAGCUCGAGUUCAUGCCGCUCCGCGUCCACCUCCCGGCCUAUGAAAGUCGCCGCCAUGCCUCGAAGCCCCUUACCAACCCUAGCGCCCUCGCUCUAGAGCUCCAGCGCCGCAACCCUAGCCGGCGCCCGAGCUUGAACCCGCCGCUAUCAUUUUCUGCCACCGCCACCUUCGCGUCGUUGAGGUCACCACCCAGAGCACCGCGAGGAGGUGAGGAAGCCGCCCGUGAAGAUCCCGUGCACUCCCGUGCCUUCCUUCGCGCGCGUGAACUCACCGGAGUUUACCGCCGCCGCACCGAGCCGUUCCGCCAAGUCGCCUCGCGCCGUCGUCACCUCAGCCACCGCGAGAACCACCUAGAUCGGUUUGAUGUGACACCAGCUUCAUCCGGAGCCCAUCCCCGUCAAAGAUCGUGGACCACCACUCGAGUUACGCUUGAUUCCGGCGAGGAUCCCUGCAGCGCUGCCGCAUUCACCGCCACCAGUCGUCCGAUCUGCAUCCGGAGUCAAUACCAGUCAACCGAGCUGCGCGUGUCGCUUUUGCAAAAAAGACCCUCGCUAUUUUCCCUUUUCACACAUGAGAUCCAUCCAGUUCAAAGUAUUUCAAUCUAAGUCCUUUUUCUUCUGUUUUAGCCCCUGUUCUUUUAUAAAAUCUCGUCUGCCAUCCUGGUUGGUCUUUUCACGCGUUAGCCCUUCAGUUUAUAAGCUUAAUUAGGUUAUAGCCCUUGGUUUCUUUAAGUUUAGCUCCUGGAAGUUUAGUUUUCUCACAGUUAAGCUCCUGAACCUUGUGUAGCUCAUAUCUUUAGCGUUUUAGAUCCAUUUUAAGCGAUUCUUGCGCCUAUGGGUUUGUGUUGAUGCAUAGAUUAGUUUUAUGGUCUUUUUUUGCUCUGUUGUUACUGCUUGAUGUAAUAUUUUCUUAUUUUAGUCCUUUGUUUGCUUGUAUGUACUUACCUGAUACGCAUAGAAGGAGCGUUGUUCGAGGGAUUCGAAGAGCAAGGAUUUAAAGACUUUGAGCAGUAAGAGCAAGUUCAGGAAGGCAAGUCGUGCCCUUGAUCAUAAUUUGAUCCUAUGCAACCUUUACUUUCAUGUUCAUUACACAUAUGCUAUGCCCUUUAAGUAUACAAACAUGAUGGGUCCUAUUUAAGGUGUGCCUAGUUUUAUCCCUACACCUUGAUCAACCUGGGUUACUUUAAUAUUGGGUAGUUCUUGCUUAGGUGCUCUAACUGUGUAUGGUUGUAUUAAUGAACCAAUGUUUAAACUUCUUUUAUUAUACUAUACCUUCCAUCAAUACAAGAUCACCAUGCUUAAUUGGAAUAUGGAGAACCACCUGGGAAAACACUGCAACCAAAAGAACUACAUGGCUCUGGUCUUGGCUAAUUAAUUAGAGACUCUAGUCUGGGGUAAUCUUACCGAAAGGAUAAAAGGGGAGACGUUGAUGGGGUAUAGCCCGGCCCUCAGGCUAAUUUGCUCUAUGGUAGCUUCGCAGUCUUGAGAGAGGUUUAUACUCUGCUUCGACCUGAAACCUUAGCGGGUUACUACUUACUAGGGAAUCUUUGUAAAAGUCUCGUAGCGUCCCUAUACAAUCACACAUCGGAAGUGUGGUAUUAUGCUUGGCCCACACAGCAUGGUUGGGUCUAAAGUUCUCUUGAACUUUUACACGACUUGUGGGUAAAAAUGUACAAUCUCUGCACAGUGUAAAACUAUUAUAAUAGCCGUGCUCACGAUCAAGAGCGGUCUGGACCCUCACAUGAGUAAUUUAUCAGAAGUUGAAUUAAAUUGAUCUUAUUUAUUGUUGUUAUCUUUAUUUAUGAUCAUGCUUAAUAUGGAUGGUAUAAACAUAUACUUAGUAAUUGCUAAUAAAAUUGACCAACCAAAUAAAAUGUUGAGAUACUAUUAAACCAUAGCCUAUCCUUGGAUAGCCUUACACUACACAUUCCUCACGCUUGCUGAGUACCAACCAUAAGUGUACUCACCUUUGCUAAAACCGCUGCUCAGACCAAAUCAACUUUGAGUAGGUUCCUAAAGACUUUGAGGAGUUCUAGGUGUACAUGUGCCACCAGUCAACUGCCUGUGGAGUCAUCAUCAUCGUUGGAGUUCCAAUGCUAGAAUAAAGACUCGUUUUGCUAUUCCAAUUAAAGACUUUCAGUCAUAUAAUAAUACUCUCUCUUUACGUUUUGACACUAUCUAUGUUAUUUACUGAAGUCGUUGCAUGUGUGAAACUUGACCCUAGCGCAUAUGUAAUUCAUUCAUCUGGUUUUGCCUUUAAAACCGGGUGUGACACUAGGCGACGUACCCGUCGAUAGCGAGGCACCAAUGGUGAUCUUGAGGAUUUUGCCGGCUCAGUCUUUCGGAUGUGCGUUGCGUGCGUAUGUUCGUAGGGAUAAGUAUGCGUACGUGUAUGCGAGCGUCUGCAUCUACACCGUGUGAUUAAAAAAUGCUUUGUCAUGUGCUUGUGCUUGAUUCAAGAAAGACUACCUACAAAUGUGCUCCAGACGCCUGGAACUUCCUGUAAACUGACCACGUGCCGACCUGAUUCCCCCUAUGCUCGCCAUGUCUCCUUAUCUCGACCAAUUCGGGCUUAGGGGGUGUUUGGAUACGAGAUGCUAAAUUUUAGUAGGGUCACAUUGGAUGUUUGGAUGCUAAUUAGGAGGACUAAACAUGAGCUAAUUACAAAACUAAUUACACGGAUGGAGUCUAAUUCGUGAGACAAAUCUAUUAAGGCUAAUUAAUCCAUCAUUAGCAAAUGGUUACUGUAGCACCACAUUAUCAAAUCAUGGACUAAUUAGAUUUAAUAGAUUCGUCUUGCGAAUUAGACUCCAUCUGUGCAAUUAGUUUUGUAAUUAGAUUAUGUUUAAUACUUCUAAUUAGUAUCCAAACAUCCGAUGUGAUAGGCGCUAAAGUUUAGCAGGGGUACACCCCCUCAGUGUGUGCACCCAUUUGGAUUCCCCGUUGGGGUUGAGUCUGAUUGGGUGCGCGCCUUGCCAUUAUCGGCCAAACAUUUUUGCUCCCUGGGACAGUUGCUGAGCUCUCAUUGUUUCAAUUUCUAACAAAGAGAGAGUUUCAGGUGAAGCUACCUGUAUGUUCUGCACGUAUGUGCCUUGAUUGUUGUCCCAGCAAGACGAGUUCAGCUGGAGGGAGUCCCACACGAGAGAGUCAGCCUGACUGAAUGCAUGGAUCACUCAUAGGCCCUCCCAUGGUAUGCGCUCAAUCCUAUCGACUUGAGUACCACUUCAUAGUAUCAGACUAUCAGCCUCCUUAUUUUCCCAGUACUAGUAUCUCCUAGGAACACAAUGCGUUUUGAGACAUGUGUCCUCAAAACCAUUUUCUGUACCAUCUUUCACAAGUAUCAUUUUUAAUUUAUCAAUCGGACAUGCUAGCGCCUGGACGUCCGAUAAAUUUUUUUUAUCGGACGCUCCGUCGCAACAUUGAAAAAUAACUAUCGAAACAUCAAAAAUCAACACGUGCAACAUGAAAACAGAUGAAACAUCUGGAACAUACAGUUGCAACAUAUAUGUGAAAAUAUAUGCAACAUCCAGAUAGAACAUUUGCAACUUGCAACCUGAAAACACAACAGAAGACUGAAACAGAUGAAAUAUUUUAAAACAUAUUGUUGCAACAUAUUUGUUGAACAUAUGCAACAUUCAGAUCAAACGCUUGCAACAAUACUUCUGGGAACAAAUGAAACAUUCGGACAAAACUCUUACAACAUGCUUCUGAAACACUUGCAACAUAUGCAACAUGUGCAACAUCUCUUGAUCUACUUUUACAACAUCCAUAUGAUUCAACUGCUACACACCUUUGAAACGUCUGAAACAAUUGAAUCAUACAAUUGCAACAUACGGGGGGAGAGAGAGCCUGACCACCGUGCAGUCCCUCUGGAGCCUAAGCACGGACACCACCUCCCUCUGGAGCUUGGUGUGACGACCGACCCUGAAUCUCUCGAGUUAAUCUUAAUCUAAGUCCCUAAUCACGUAUCAGCUUUACCGAGUUUAAGUACUCAACCUCCAGUCCGGUCCCGACCCCUGAGACCCGACCCCUUUCCGCUGGCCUCCAGUUCCGACCCCGCCGACCCCAACUCACCCGCCGGAUCCUUCUAAGUCUUCCCCAACACCUCCCUUCAAUCUGACCGAUGGACCCACGAGAUCUUUUCCCCCAGAUCUCCCGUGACAGGUGCACUCGAGUUGCAUGCCCGCUUCAGAGUUCCCCCGCCGCGUGGCUCAACUCUUCCGACGUCCGCCGAUCCGCCUCGUCUUCGGCCCGCGACCGGAUGGAUUCUCACGCCCCCUUCCCCAAUCGCAGUGGUAGCCCCUCUGCAACCCUUUCUGCAGCACCUCGCCGCCCGCGCCCAUCAUCACAUCGCCAGAUCCCAGCCGCAGAGCCCGAUGCCGCCCGUCUUUUCCGUCACCUCGCCACAGUCACGCCGCCCGGUCUUCGCUACACGACGAUUCUUCCUCCGCCAACCCAGACCGCGGCAGCGACAACUCCUUUCCCGCCCUGUCAGAAGCCGCCCCGAUAAUCUGUUGCUCCGCGCUCGCCCGCGCGACCGCAGCCGCCUGUCUUCUCACCUGUGCGCCCUCGUUCCUAGCGCCAUUUUCCCGGUCACUUCCAUCAGAUCCACCGCACGACGACGCCCGCCUCCGCCAAAUCUCAACCACCAGCAAACCCGCGCCUGCGCCGCCCUGACGCCAGUGCCCAACGACCGCCGCGUCAUCCCCGGAGUCCUGCUCCACCACCCUCGUCGCUCAAUCGCCGCCCGGGCAGAGCACUCCAUUGCUUCUUCCCCGGCCUUCGCGCCGCUCCCCUUCUCACUCCCGCGCUGCUAUAAAAGGGAAUGUGCAAGCCCCGCCGGAGUUUCCCUUGCCCUAGCUGCCAUCUCUCUUGCUCCCUAUUCGAGCUCACAGCGCCACCACACUAAGUCCCUGAGGAACUCUCCUCUCCGCUCCACACCGCUUUCCCCAAUCCACCCAGCCACUUGUUCCUCCGUGCUGCGUAAGAGCUUACUUGUGAUCCACAAUAAGCACCGCCGCCGCCGGAGCACCGCCGGACAUCUCCGCUGCAAGUCUUAGUGUUCCAGUUCCUCCGCCCGAACCUGCUCUUUCCCGACCCCAAACUUUCCUUGUAAGACGAAGGUAAGCUGAUGACCCUUGUCCGCCUCGUCCGACCCUUCUGUUCGUCCGACCCCUUUUCCGUCCCGCCCGACCCUGUCUGUUCUGCUGACCCUUGUCCGCUUCACCCGACCCCUUAUCCGCCCGAUCCCGGUUCCGUCUCGCCCGACCCUGUCUGUUCCGCCGACCUUUCUCCGUCUCGCCCGAGGGCUCGGUUGUAUCUUUUUCUUCGAACCGAGGGUGUAUGUGUAAAACUUGGGGACCUUUCAGCGUUGAGUCUGAGGACCCCUAGCACACCAAAUUCCUCUAGAUUAAGGGUCAGAUCAUAAGUUCCUUUCCUCCGACCCUUACCUCUUGAUCUCCAUCAACUCCAUUGAACUUUCCCACCUUCAUGUAACUUGUCGCAAGUUUCUAGGCUCAGACUUGCAAGUGUUGCUGUUGAAAUAACCGUCUAAAUGCUAACUCUUGCAUUGCAUUUCGUGUAGAGCUUCGUCUCGCCGACGGCUACUACGAGCUGCACCGGGCGCAAGAAGACGACGGUGUAGCUGAGCUCCUGCCCCCAGAAGCCGAAGCCGCCCCAGCAGAAGAGCAGCUUCCUUCCUUCUCGCUUGAAGGCAAGCCCCGGAUGCAUGAAACCCCUAUGUUUUUCAAACUUAUGCACGCCCUCUGCAUCUUGUUUGUGCAUUUACGUAUAGGGGUUAUUUGGAACCAUAGAUGCAUAACCUAGUUCCCUUGAUCUGAACACUAGCUGUUGGACCGAGUAGAUGCUUUGCUCAAGUAGGAAGCGGUAAAAGCCGAGUGAUUUCCUGUCACUCGCGAGUUUAUAGGAGUUGGUUGAGUUCUCUUCUGUUACAACUGUAAGGACGAUGGACGGGGCAGGGUUUCGGGUAACUCUUUGGUGGUCGGUUGGUCGCCCCGUCUGUCUAUGAAACUUGCUAAGGCCCGACAGUGGUGGUGUUCGUGAUCAAGUGUUUGGAAGUACUAACCUCAUACUUAGUAUGGGAUGAGGAAGCCUAGUACCGGAUUGAACCUAGACGUGAGCGGUCGCCCCAUUGUCCUUGGAACGGAGUUUCCCCUGCGGCCGCACGUGGUGGCAAGUGUGGUCACAGAACGGCAGAGGUCGGGUCUGUGGAACAUUGCACCAAAGGAAAUGGGCCCGACACGGGUUAGGGAAUUGAUGGGGAAGGCCGACACAGGAAGCGACCCUCGGUGGUGCGCGGAUGUCGUGAGGUUAGGUUCACCAUGCAUGGUUAAAGAACUCGAAUCGAUUCGUCUGCCUCUCACAGUUUGAGACUGCUUGAUCGCUAUGCUACCCUGAGUAAGAAAGAAAUAUGAUGAUGACAUGGUCUCGAUGAUGAUUCAUAUUUAUAUACCUUUUGGUUGGUUCUAUGGUUGCUUAGAGUAAGUUGCUAACUUAGACCGAAUAAUGAACUUAGAACCUGAGCUAAAACUUGAAAAUAGGGAUCUACAUAGUGCUUUUGGCAAACAAACCCCUCAGCCAAAGAGCCUUGCAUGUCUAGAAGUGGUGGAGUAGUUACCCCCGAUCGGUUAAGUCUUGUUGAGCUUAGUAGCUCAGUCUUGUUGUGGCCUUUCUUUUCAGGUGAAGCCGCUGCUCCAGAGUCCUCCCCUGUUGGCACUUGGCCGCCCCAACUCCCUUCGGGUUGGACGGUCGAGUGGGAUCCCUCCUCGGACGGCGAGGAAAGGGAUCACUGACGUCUUGGCAGGCCUCACCAAGGACGUCCGACCCCGACGAAGUAGCUUCCGCUCGUUUUUGCCUUCUGUCUGUUUCUUUUGAACCUUGUAAAACUCUGAUGUUGGUUUUCAUGGCCGAACUAAAUGGUUAAGUUGUUUAACUCAGUAGGACUUGUUGUAUUCUCUGGAACCACUCACCUUCGUGUGAGUUUGCCAACUCGGUCCUGUUCAAGUGGUUAAAUCGGAUGAAAUCCGACGGCACUUCGUGUUAACUUGGCCAAGGCAUGGGUGUCGCACGUUAGGCGACUUAACCAUGUUUAAUCAAGCUAAUCCGAAGUGGAUCCGCCACACUUGGCCACCGUGCAAUCCCAGGAGGCCGCGACGAGCAGGACGUGAUCGAAGUGCACGAUGAGGCGCAGACCUCGCGCACCAGCUUGAGCACCGUCGUCUUGCCCACGCCGCUGGCGCCCAGGCGCCGAGCGCGGCAUCACAGUCGUCGAGGAAGCGGAGCGCCUCGUUGAGGUAGGCCCUCGAGGGCCCCGCCUCCAUAGGGAGCCCGUCCUGGUCCUCGGGGUUGCAGAGCAACGGCGGCGGCACCUAUGGCGUGGCUAGCGCGGCCUCCAAGAUUGUCGCGCCCUGAUCCCGGAGCGCGCGCAGCGCCUUGAGCUGCUACUCAGCCAGCCCGGCGACUGGGCCCAUGGGGAGGAAGAGGUAGUGCACCAGGUGGACCACGUAGAGCUACCCGCCAUCGUGCCGCGCCUAGAUGGACGCCAUCUCGUCCUGCGCCUCCUGCACGCGCCGCAGCCAUGCGCACACGGGGUCUGAUGCUGGCGGGGUCCGGGGCAGGGGACGCGAGCGUCGGGACCUCGAGCGUGCGGAAGCGAACCGUGGGGAGGAAUGGGGAGCCGGCGCCAACACCGCCGCAGCCCCAGCCGUGGAGCGGCGCGCGGAGCGGGGUGGGUGGAUUCGUGUGGGGGAGGUGAGGGGACGGAGGAGAUUGGGACACUCACCGUGGAGAAGAAAGUGCUGGAAGGGAGGGGAUAAGGUUUGUGGUGGGACCCAUGGUAAAGAAGGGACGGGAGAUAGGGGCACGUCAGCACGUGGGCAGGAGGCGCGGUGGGCGAUGAUAGCGACGCGUCCGAUUUUUUUACUCCAUCCGGACGUAAGAGUCCUAGCAUUUCCGUUUAUCAAUACAUUUAUGUUGUCGUACGAGUAUUGCUGAGUCUGCAAAGUGUGAGCUUUGGAAGAACAAUGGAAAUGCACCUCAAUAAUACCAAGCUCAGUUCUCGCUCCGACAUGUGAAAAUGGGGAAGCGUUAUAUGUUCUUCGCUAAAACCGUCACUUCCAUUAAUGUAUUUUUUGAGUAGACCUGAUGUUUUAAUUAUGAAGUUUUGUAAUUGGUAUGUCACUUACUUUUAUUUUUGGUGAACACAUUAUAUAUAUUACAACAUGCAUAAAUUAUUGGAUAAUGAAUGAUCCCGAUUGGCCAGCUCAAAAGUUGCGCGGCAACGCCGCGCUGGAUUUCCAGUGACAAGGAACGUCCCUCUGGUGUAGUUUCAACUACAGUAUGCAGAGGAUCGGUUCCCCGCUUCAGGGCUGCUGCCGCCUGCCGAGGAUGCGGGUCGGAUAGGAUCUGGUUCGAAAAAUCCAAACCGAGGGCUCAUGGCGUCGUCGAUCAGAAGGAACGAACUCGGCGGCACGCACAGCGCCGAGGCCUCUCGAACCGAACACCCCGCGCAUGGUACAGGAACGCAGGUUCAGGCUACAAACGCCCAAAAAGGAGCCGCGAAUCCUAGGAGCAAUCACGAACCCGCGACGGCAACGCAGAUCGCUAGUGCGCGCGCGCUGCUGCUGCACGAUCCAGUCAGCGGCAGCAGCAGCAGCGUCACAUGGCGAGCCCAGCGGCCAUGGAGGAGUGCAGCAGCGCGCAUGUGGCCUCGGUCCUCGGCCAGCACCCACAGGACGCCGCGCCCGCGCACAUGGCUUGCGACGCGCGGAGCAGCCCAUGGUCUCCGGCGCCGAGAUGGGCGCGCAUACGGCCGGGGCGGGACCCCAACUGACGAGGCAGGCCCCUUCUCGGCGCAGCACCGGGGGCAACUGCCACUAGCUCAUUGAAGGCGCACGCAGCUUUGCUGCUGCCUGCUACCCGCUCCCAACCACCUCUCGAGACCACCGGUGACCGGUGCAGCUGCCGCCGGCAUCCGGCAUGUGGGUUUGCCUGAUGGAUGCUACUAGCAAAAUUCUAGUGUUACCAAUAAUAUUCGUUUUGCUUUAGUACUUAAUUUGCCUAAAAAAAAACUAGGCGUGAUUGCUUAACUCGUGAAGGUCAGAGCUGGAUUUGAUUGUGAGGGUCAAGUAGCUUGCGCCUUGUCCGUUCCAGCUUCUUUUUGAGGGUCAAGUACGUUGCUGCUCGUCGUGGAUCUAGAUGCGUUUGGUCAACACCCUUGCAAUCCGUGAGAGACAAGCAGAGAGCUACAUGGCUGUACACGAAGCAAUUGUUAAUCAGAACUGUGAUCUGGAUCUGAUGUUAGCUCCAGCUAAGCUGCACCUGGCUCUGAUUCUUUUUGGAAGCUCAAUUUGCUCUCUUGCAGAUCUCUAGAGGUUUGGUCAACCCCCCUGCAUUUCGGGAGGCAACAAGAAGAAGUGCACCGCACAUGGGGGCGAUUCUUACAACUCGGUCGAUCGUGCUUCCGAGUCCUACUCCUACUAGCUUAUGAUCGUUGACCAGCCUCAACAACCGCUCUCAACCCUUCUUUCGAAAAGCUGAAGACGACGACGCCAGCUGCCAAUUGGUAGCAGCACUUGGUUUUCCACCUGGGUCCUGGACUCCUGGGCCAUGGAAAAAGGUUGUAGUAGUCUUUCCGAGCUAGCACGCGUCCACACACGCACAAUUUGUGAACCCAGGGCCAGGGAGGGUUGCGUUGCGUGACAUUGCAAAGACGCACCCGCAUCGGGCGUGACCGUAGCGGCGGUAAUGGCGUCACGUAGAGCAACAGCUACGGCGCCAUACGGCACGAGAAGGAUGUGCGGUGAGGACGACGGCGGACCAAGUCGCCAUGACGCCGGCAUGUGCCAGGCCAACGGCUGAACACGCACAAUAUGUGUUGCAAAAGCGAUGAAAUUUGUUUUGCUUUUUUGGAAUUUUCACGAGAUUUUUAUAUGACGCCCUGGACUGUUUCGCCGGCACGCAUGGUUCUUGGCGCACCACGAGUUUGCAAAGCAAGUAGCGGUGUAGCACAGGUGAACUAACUUGCGGUACAGGACCCGUUUAGCAGGGUUGCAGCCGUGGCCGAAACGGCUGCGGCUGUGGCGGCUCCGGUGGAGGUAAAGUUAAAGUCGUUUUGGAAAGUGUUUAGCAAAACGGCUUCUCAUGUGCCUUUAGAAAUGGCUGUGAUAAGUCAAAUGCCAAUGCCCUUGACUAUGUGGAUUGUUUGAAUAGAUGAAUAGAAUGCUUAACAUUUGUUUAUAAAUUUGAGUUCAUUAGAAAUUUAAAAAAAUAAAAGGAUUAUUGUUUAAGCAAUAAUAAAAAGGAUUAUUUUUCUUCUUUAACUUUUGUUUUUCCUUAAUCCGGUCCACAUCCUCCCAUUCUUUUUUUCUCUUUGUUUUUUCUAUUUCUCCACGCCAUCGCAAUCCAUCCUUGUGACUCUUCCUGACCGUUCGCUAAUUUGAGUUCAAUAGAAAUUAUGAAUAUAAACUAAAAGAAUCCGUGCGCCUGUAAUUACAAAAGGAGGCAUAAUCCUAGCAUGCAACCAUACAAGCUAAUAAUUAUAAAAGUAGCCAUGAUCCUUACAUAGCAUGCAACCAUAUAAGCUAGCUGGCAUGCUCAAGAUGAUCUAGAAAGGAAGAUUGCUCUAGCAAGAUCAUCUCGGAAUUUAUCCAUGGUCCAAUCAUCAGUUUCCAUAUUGGAUGUAUCUCCAUCAUCUUGAAAGGUAUAGUGGGCAUAUAAUCAGCAUUCCGAUCGCAUUUGCAGAAAUCCUUAUCUUGUGCGUGGUUUUCACGAACGAAGUUAUGGAGACACCUGGUUGCGGCAACUAUCAUCAUUUGCUUCUUCAUUUGCUUCACCGGGGAGUUGACGAGCCCCGAACCGGACCAGAGCUGGGCCUGAACCGGCAGCCGCUCGUCACACCGUUCAUCAGCACGAACCUCCUGUGAAGCCGUCUCGUUGGUGCCCGCUGCCGACGCUUCGGUGACGACGCCGGAAGUGCCAUCAUCGGCACGGAGCCAAUCCGGCCCAAGAGCCGCGACUGCUGCUCCGAACCACCACUCUGGCCAUCCUCCAUGCCCAGGCAUGCCAACACCUAUGGGCAUGGCUGUGCUUCCAGCCGUCAUGGGGCUGGGCCACGUGCCGGCGACUAGGCUCGCCGCGGCUGGGACACCACCCCACGAUGCGACAACGUGGCCGGUCCAGUCUGGACCGGUCUGGCGGCGCCGUCCGCCCCCUGCAGUUGCUGCGUCUCCAGGCGCACCGAGGAGUCCGGGCCAUGCGCCUGCCACCACGUCGGGAGGCAAUCCCACGGCGGCCAGGAGGGCGCCUAGGGGACUUGUCGGCAAGCCUCCUGGACACAUGAACGGGGCGCCGCUGGCCCAUUCGCCGGCCGCAUCCUGGAGCCCACCACCAGAUCUACCCCUUUCAAUCGUCGGAGCCCCUUUUCCAAGCGACGCAGCUGCAUCCCCCUCAUCCAUUUCGCCCGCCACCACCAGACCGUGAGAAAGAGGGAGAGAAGCGGAUGGAGUAGCGGUUCGGGAUGAGGACGCCGUAUCGAUUGGAAGGAGGUGGUGGCAAUUUAGCUGUAACUUACCGUGAGAUCCAGGGGUAGUUUCGUAAUGAGUGGGGUGCGGACGGAGAGGAAGCCAUGGGGAGCUGUUUUUUUUCGGAUUCUUCUCGCUAGUACAAAAUGGAGAAUGGCUUCACGAGUGCUUCGCGAGAAAAGCUGUUUUUUUGAAGGGUGUUUGGCGCAACUUCUCCGAAACCGCUUGAGAAGCUGUCCAAUAAAUCCUACCACGGAGCCCUGAAUUCCACGUGAAAGAGAAGAAACAAAUUCACGUUUAGCUGAGAACUGAGAAAACAAAACUCGCGAGCAAUUCAUCUGGCCCCAGGGAUUUUUUAUAUACAAAUAGAAACGCCUUCACAACUUGCUGAAGAGUUGUUUAGAGAGGGAGGAGAAAAAAAUCGGUUCUCGCAUAUUCGAGGCAGGUCCUUGGCUGCUUGCCGUCUAACACCAAACACCAGCUCACCCAACAGAUUCCUGCCACGUAUACCUCACCGACACCAAGCGAUCGAGCCGUAUCAUACGUGCCAGUAGCACCCUUACGUGGCGCUCCCCUAAUGGUCAGAAGAGCUGAUCGCGACAGCGCUCCCGUCGCAGCUCGAGCUCAACGCAUCCGAUCACACCCGACGCAGCAGCGCCCGUGCAAUUAUGCCACCGCGUGGAGCCCGCGGGUCCGGGGCCCACUUGCCAGUGACACGGCUGGCUCAGCCAUCAUCGUCGCUGACACGCCCCCUGAAAAGGGCUUAUCGGAUACCCGCAAAAAAAAGAAAGAAAAGGGCUUAUCGGAGGAGUAAGCGCGAAGUAAUCCCAGCUCAUCGCUCCAAAAUUACCUUGCCACGUCGAUGACACCGUGGAUUAGCGUGGUAAUCAAAUGGGGAAAUGGCGAGCGAGGCAGCCUGGCUAUAAAAGAGCUCCUUGCCCCUCCUUUCCUCCUCCCCGCCCCACCAACACUCCCAAGCCACCACCAGCCAUCCCAUCUCCACUCGUCCACAGCCAAAAUCCGCCUACCCAAUCCCCAUCCAUCCAGCGCCCACCCACCACCGUUCCAGUGAGUUCGAGCGAGGUAAGCUUAGAUCUGAGCGAGUUCUCGCGCGUCGCAGGUAAAGUUCACUCUCCUGACCCUCUUCCUCCUCUCCUUGUUCUUCUUGGUUUCGUCUUCCUCGAGCAGACAGCGAGAGACCCGGGACGUUUUAGAUCCUGGGCUUCAGAUCUGCUAUUUCUUCUUCAGCUUGGUUUUUAGCAGUCUAGGUUGCUAGUUUGGUAGCCAAGAGGGGUUCUUUUUCCACACCUCCCUUGUGCAAGUCCGUGCGCAGAUCUACCAUCAGAGCCAUCUGUUUUUUACUGUGGCUGUUGGGUUCUGCCUGAUUUGUUCUUGGUUUGCUAGAAAGAAAAAAAAACAAAAAAAAGAGUUUUCUUCAGGUCUACUACUAAAGUCUAGAUGGCUGCCGCUAUAGAUCUGUCCGGGGAGGAGCUGAUGAGAGCUCUCGAGCCUUUUAUCCGGGAUGCCUCUGCUCCUCACGGGUCCAGUCCGCUUCUCCAACACCACCACCCUCUCAGUCCCACCUCUCCCUUCUCCUUCCACCACGCCGCCGCCUACGGUGGCGGGUACCCGUUCGCCGCCGGAGCCGAGGGGGCGGGCCAGCUGAGCCCGGCCCAGAUGCAGUACAUCCAGGCCCGCCUCCACCUGCAGCGCCAGGCGCAGUCCUCCGUCCUGGGCCCGCGGGCCCAGCCCAUGAAGGUCUCGUCGGCGUCUGCGGCGGCCCCGACCCCGCCGCGGCCGCAGAAGCUGUACCGCGGCGUGCGGCAGCGGCACUGGGGCAAGUGGGUGGCGGAGAUCCGCCUCCCGCGCAACCGCACCCGCCUCUGGCUCGGCACCUUCGACACCGCCGAGGAGGCAGCGCUCGCCUACGACCAGGCCGCCUACCGCCUCCGCGGCGACGCGGCGCGCCUCAACUUCCCCGA
rnacentral:lncRNA from 1 species